rnacentral:lncRNA from 1 species
UAGGGUUCUGUUCGCGACUGUGCCUUGAGAUCUAUUAUAUCUUUACUAUUAGUUGUUUCCCGUACCAGCAAUUUGUGUUGAACAAGACAUCGUUAGUUUGUUAUCCUUGUUCCUGUGUGGUAAACCAACAUCUUAUGAGAAUUUUGCGAUAUGUUAUGCCAGUUUAUAUCAGACGAGUUAUCCAUAUCUGUGCUCCUAUUUAUGCUUCGUUUGAUCUGUGUUAAUUGUUAUCGAUCCCUAAUGCAUGUACUUUUAUUUGCCAUGGUAACUAUAUGAUUCUAUGCCUGCUAGUCAUGGUAACUAUAUGAUUCUAUGCCUGGUAGUCAUGGUAACUGUAUGUGUCUAUGCCUGCUAAUCAUGAUAACUGUAUGAUUCUAUGCCUGCUAAUUAUGUGACAUGUGAACUGUAUGAUUUUUGUUUGCACUCUGGUAUGCUUUGUUUUCUUUGUUAAUCUUUACUUGUCAUAGUGUAUUGCUUCAGGAUUCUAUUUCUUGUAGUCAUAGUGAUUUGCUUGCUUAAUGCUCGAUGACAUUGAAGUUGAUGUCUGGAAGAGGUUUGUAGCCAUACUAAUGGUUAACAUGAGGUAGUAGUUUUAUCUUUGGAAUCCCUAGCAGGUACUAAAGUUUUGGAUUGCAUCUUCCUUCUAAAUUUACUUGACUAGUUUAGUGUCACCUCUUGAGUUAAAUAAGAACCUGGAGUAAGCUAUUGUGCUGUUAUUGUUGUGCCAUUGUGUGAAGUAUUGGUAUCCAUUUGCAUCUUCGCAGAAAUGGCGACAUGUUCUUUGAGAAAUCUUCCUCUGAAGCAUUCUGUCUGUUUUGUAUUUGCUAGAACAAGGAUGUUAUUCUUUUUGGGUGUUCGAUUUGUUUUGCUUGCUGUGGCACCUUUUUUUUUGCUUGCUGUGGCACCUGACGCAUAGCAGUUGUUUUAUCAGUCAAGCUUUGUUUUAUAGUCAAGCAUUUGUUACUGUAUUUCCCAGAGUACAUUAGUACAUUAGUACAUUUGUUACGUGUGUGUGAUCAUGUUUGCUUGUCUGUACAUAGCUGCAAUUGCCUGAUCGAUAGAGCGCCUUAGGGUUCAAAGGAUUUUAUAGCAAUUUUUGCUAUGUACUACCUCUGUACCGAAAUACUGUAGUUGAGGAUUUGCUCAUUUGCCGCUCCCGUAAUUUGUUUGCCCACGCACGUCGCCUGAAUCUGUUGUGCACAACUGACUCCCGUGCCCUCUAGGUAUUCCACCACUGCCAGCCGGGGUUGCCAUCGGAGGCACUCAAACAUCCAACAGUAUCAGUUGAUUGACAAACUGACUCGAUGGGUCAUUUCUCCCGCCGGUUGCCAUCGGUUCGAAAGGAACAUUGGCGCCGUGACACGAGACGGUGAGUAGAACAAACGCAUCAGCUGUUGGUCCGUGCCGCCAAUGCCUGCUUUGCCGGCUGGGCAAGCGAUCCCUCGUCCACACGCACAAGGAACCCUCUGUUUGACAUGCGUGCGGCCCGUCGUAUGCGGCCCUCCGUGACAUGGAUGAAGUGGCACGUUUAAGCACGAGGCACCCUCACGUUGAUGCAUAUCACUUCCGUGGUACGUGGACAGAAGGAACAUAUCUCACGGUUGUUGGGUGGAGGAAUUCACAAUUUAUCUGUACAACGAUGAUAUCUUAGAAGACCUAUGUAGUAUAAAUUGCUGAGCUUAACGAAAGAUAAUAAACUAUAAGAAAAAAGUUGUAUUUUUCUUAAUUAGGAUAUGAUCUCUUAGCAAUAAUAUUUGUCACCACUGACCACAUAUUUAGAAAUAUUUAGUUUAUCAAAGAAAAGACUGAUGCCAUGCAACUUUCUAUUUUUUUUCCUUGAUUACAUGAUGGGUUUAAGAUAAGACUAUCUUACUUGCCUUCAUAAAAAACGUUGAAAAUAACAUUUAAAUACUCCGAUGAACAGACACACCUUCAUGCGCCCUCCACGAGCCGAUGGAACAUGGAUAGGAUGAGCAUGCCAUUAUUUCUAAACCCGGCAACAUCGUCGCCUCGCGGCCUCGACUAACACACAGAGAAUUCUAAAACCAGGCUAAAUUAAAACCAAGACGCCUAUGCUGCUGUACGCCAAAUAUGAGCCAGAGGUCGAGCCAAACCACCAUCUAGGACCCUAUAUGCCGUCGGUGCAGGUAGCAUCGCCUGUAAGCGUCCCUGGUUGAGAAUUGCCGCUGCUCGAACACACAUCAACGACUGCCGCUAGCCCCGGCAUGAACUCAAUGUGGACACUUGACAGAUCAUCCCGGCAUCGUAGACGCCACAUGGGUUUUGCUCGAUGACAGACUUUGGCAGCAACGGGAGCGUAACGCUGGUGGCAGCUAGGGCUUCAGAGUUUGUCGCGAGAUAUAAGGACGAGUGAAUCAGGUUAGGUAAUUACGUUAGGCAGAACCCCGAAGUAAGAGGAAAUGAAUAUGACUUUGAACUACAAAUUUCACAUACUUAUGAACAUUAGCUGUCUAAUAUAGUACCAUGUCUAAUGACGGUGUACCUCAUUCCGAUGGGCAGGGAUGUAGGUUUGUGUAAAAACCGUAAAAAAAAAAAUAUAUAUAAUAAAUAAAUUAGAUAACGACAAUUUCAACGGCGUUGCCAAAACAUUAAUUAAAAUAAUAGAGACAACUACAUUUAUUAUUACAACAAAUAGCAUUUAGUCGUGCAAAACAAAUUCUUCUCCAAACCUCCAUAUAUUUUAUAGACCCUUGUCUCAUUUCUUUCCCAUAAAGUAAAUGCCAACUAAGGGCCAGCCAAACAAAUUACAACCGUCCAUAGUACAACCCAUAAGAGACACAAGUGGAGGUAUGCAUGCAAGACUAACCACGCAUGCAUGCCAGAUGUAAUGUGUCUUCAAACCGACAUAGCUAUUCACCCCACUAUAAAUAGGAGCCAUCCCUUUCACUGGACCAUUCUACCUCACACACACAUACGUUGGAGUACCCCCACCACUUGCCUUUUCACCUUCUACCACACUGCUGUCCUUCACUGCGGUGAAGAUCUUUGGGUUGCAUGCGCCACCAGGUACUAAUCAAGUAUCUUGUUGUGUUAGCCCUUCUUGCUUGAUUUCUUAUCUAUCUCCACCUCGGUUUGAAUCAGUCCAUAAGCAUCUAUUCGCCUUGAUCUAUUUACCUUGCAGUAAAACGAACAAAAUGUUUGCGUAAACACCCAAGUUAGUCAAAACUAAUUAGAUCAAUUGCAAAAGCUUGUAAAAGUUUAUGUGAAUGACAUCCGUGGUAUGUACUAGAUCUAACAUGCCAAGAAUCAAAUCCUAGGUACUAGUAACUUGCUAAGACAUGUAUGUAUGUAUCCAAAAGAUCAACCUUCCUGUGUAUACUACCUUGUCCUAUUUAUUAAUCCCUGCCAAUCUGUAGCAAACUGAGAGAUUGAUGUUUAUAAUCUACUCACAAGUAAUUAUUAUUUUUGGAGUUUCACUGCCACUGUUUACUUCUAUAUGGUGUUCAAGGAUGAGUAGCACUAGUUAGGAACAGCAUUUAGAUCUAAUCAGUAGCAAUACCAUGACCACACUAUAAAUUAAAUCUUGAUUAAUUUCAUGGCCUGGAGAUAAACAAAGAGAAAGAAGGCAAUAUGGCUGAGAAGGGAAUAGUAGGGCCUGAGAUAAAAUGAACAAUAUAUGCACACCCACGUUCACAUAUAACAGGCACUUGUUGUGAAAUUUGGAGCACUUCAUGGAGAAGGAAUUAGGAUUAGUACUUACCAGCAGUAGCAGUAGGAUGUGGCUAGUCCACACCGUUAGCAGCAGAGCCAUGGCGACCGAGCAGCGCCGGUGAAGCCGCACACGCCCGACGCCCAUGGCUGCACGCCUCGUGCGUGUGGCUGCGUUGGCGGAGGAUGUAGGCACGGAGACGUUGUUGCCGCUGCAGCCGGUGGCAAGCCCACCGGACCUGGAUCAGGCGGCGCUAGGAUUGAGUGGUGGCGACGUUUUUGGCGGCGGCGGAUCAAAUAAAUAGGGGGAAAUGGUAGAGGGAGACGAGGGGAAUCUGUAGGUGUCCGCCGUGUCGCCGGAGAUGCCCGGACGGGGCAGAUCGAGGCGACGGCGGCCGUGCUCUGUUCUUGGGGAAGAGAGAGAGGUGAGCGGGCUGGUUCUGUUCGUGGGACAGCAGAGAAGAUGAGUAGUCUUUUUAGACUCGGGCUGGGGCUCAACCCGCGUAGUACUAGUAGUACAGUACUAGGCUACUGUUCUUUUUUACUUAUCAUUUCUUUUACCAUUCUCUGGACUGGAUGACAUACGUGCAUGCUACUCUGUUUUGGAUGGCUUAAUGCAUUUUAUCUCUCAAUGGAACACUAGGACGUAUCACCACUUAGUUAAUUACAUGUGGCUUGCUCAACAUGGCCGUGUUGCUGGAUGUUAGAUUUUUAGUUAGGAAGAUAAAUAAUAAUAUAAACAUGUUCCUGAAAUAAUUACCAGGAGUCGAUCUCGGACCCGUAGGAGCCACGUCUGGUGGUUCCGAGUUGAUCGAAGCACUAUCCGGCAAGUCGUCAUCUCCUUGACCAUGUCUUGAUAAAUGUUUUCCGGGCUAUGGGUCAUUUCCAAAAUUUUGCAUAAGAAUUUAAAAUAAAUAUUUUUCAUAAAUAAAAUGAAAUUUGGAUCAGGUGGAUCCACUGAUUUGGCAAUUGGACCAGAUCAGGUGAAGCAUAUGUAUUAAGUAGUUGUGACCCGGGUAGGGUUAUAAUAUAAAUAAAUAUUUGGUGGGUAGGGGAGCUCAUGUUGGUGAAAGCAACCCAGGGAGGGUCGGCUUGGUUGGCGGGCUCCUCUACAUAGGGUAUCACAUUAGGACACAACCAACUGGCGCUUACUUCAAAAGCGGCGCAAACCGUACUGACCAUAGACCUGGAAUGGGACGGGCUGAACCAACUACCCAUGCCAAGUAGCUGCCUCUGCAUGGGUGAGAAGGUGGCUGUAGCCGGGUAGGUACAGUCACCCUAGGGCGGGACCGCCGGUCAGGGGUCUCGACCCGCGGGCCUUUAGUAAGGCAAGGUGGAAAAGCAGAGGUAGUGUACGGGCUGGUUAAAGGUUUUGGUUCCUUGGUCUAGUCGUGUGCAUGGGUAGCGCAUGGACGACUUGGACCAAGUGAUGCUAUGGGCAAAGCAGUACACCUCUGAUCAGAGUAAAUGUGAUAUCACUCCCAGCUUCCGGGUUUGGAAGUGCAUCGUGUGGGUUUUCCUCUAACACAUGAUGUAAGAUCCCACGUCGCUCUGUCACCAGUAGAUUUUAUAAAUAAAAUUUGGUUUCCAACAAAAAGGGUUAAGGGAAAAUAUUUUUACCUACAAAGUACUUUUGAGCUAAUGGCUCGCUGGUUGUAGCCGUGGCCGAUAAAGUUUUCCUCUUUAAAGAACUCAUGCAUCCACUUUUCCCGGCGACUUGCGGAGUACGUAUUUUAUACGUACUCAGCUGCACUUAUGUUGUUUUUCAGAACAAGAGAGUUAUGAGAACUCUGAGGCGAUAGAGAAUGGUACUUAUGAUGAGUCUGGUCAUCUUAAUGACUUCGGUUAUUCUGAAGUGGAGUAUGUUUAUGAGGAAGUCGACAAUCAAGGCUAUGAAGAGUAGAUGCCCUCCAUGGUUGGUCUAGAAGGCUCGUAACCGGAAGUAGAUGACGAUCUAUCGUCAUGGUCGCUUAGGUUUAGUCGACACUUGAGGUGUCAAUGUAAUAAAAGCUUGCCUACUCAUGGCAGCUGUACCGUCUUGUACAUGAUACUGUUCUCCUUAACUGAUCCUGGCACAACUCUAAAGUGACGGCUUCCGUUACGCCUGACUCUAUCGGACGUAACGGGGCGUCACAGUUUGUGACAAUUCAGAUGAAAGUCUUGCCCCUUUUUGGUUGGUGCCACCCAUGACGAUCCCCCGUGGGUGUCGUUUUCCCUCCUUGGAGGCGUCGCUGUGGUGUGUCUGUACCUCACUCUCUCUCACUUGAUUGGUUGUCUUCGGGCAAAAGCCUAGGUUCGGAUCCGGAUCGGUGAUGACAGCGUCAUCGAUGUCGUUCUUCUGUUGGGAACAUUGCUUUUGGAAACACGACUUGGAGGUCCUAGUUUGCUUUCCUGUGGUACUUGUCGCUGUUCUGGAUUGUUUGUUAGGGCCUAAAGCAGUGGCGGAGCCAGGAAAAUUAAAUUGGGAGUGCCAAACGUUGGUAAACCUUGUUUGGGAGGGCCAUAUCAUUAAAAUGCAUUGUUUUAACAGCAAAAAAGUCAAUGUUUACACUAGUAUUAGGCCUAAACCAGCGACAUUAGNNNNNNNNNNNNNNNNNNNNNNNNNNNNNNNNNNNNNNNNNNNNNNNNNNNNNNNNNNNNNNNNNNNNNNNNNNNNNNNNNNNNNNNNNNNNNNNNNNNNNNNNNNNNNNNNNNNNNNNNNNNNNNNNNNNNNNNNNNNNNNNNNNNNNNNNNNNNNNNNNNNNNNNNNNNNNNNNNNNNNNNNNNGGUACUAUUCACCGUCGCGGGCGAUUUCAAGUUGAUAGCUUUCUUGGGGCGGUUCGAGUCUCAGCACCCACCUACCAGCUCUUUUAGGCAAUCAAGGAUGGUUAAUGCCACAUACAGGUUGAUGCGUCGGCAAGGAGAAUUUGUUUGAAGUUGUUGCUCUUUAGAGGUGACCAACAUUGGUCGAGACGCAGCUGCUCUUGUUGGUCAAUUUAGAACAGAUACUUUUGUGUUGGAGUUCUUUGUGUGCGUGUAAGUUGAAGUGGUGUUUUGCCUCUCAUCGGCAUGUGAUGGAAGUUUGUCAGAAUUCUUGUAUUUAAUCAUGUGCCUUCUAUUAUAAAACUAAAACUACGGCACAUAAUUUAAUCGUGCUCUCGAAAAAAAGCAUACUUCCUCGUUCGAAAAUUAGCAAGCCAAGCCAACCCAAAUGAUUUGGCGACUUGAGGUCUAAAAUAUAAACGACCACCUAUCUUCCCACGAGUAGGCUUACUAUUCAUAACCACGCCAGCACGCGCGAAGAGCCCAACGUCCCAACUAGAGCUCCCUUCCACGCCUCUUUCUCCAAUCUCCACCUCCCCCACUCCCCCUCUUGCCCCGUCCCCUCCGCCGAACUCCAACUCGCCGAGCCAGCCAGCACCACCACCAGGAGCCAUGCCGGCGGCGGUCGCCUGCUCCGUCAAGUGCCGCCCCCACCACCGACUCUCGGCGCCGCAGCCCCACGCCGCGCUGGAGCUUCUCCCCCGCGCCCCGGCCUCCGCCGCCGGUGAGCUGCGGGCGACCCGGUGCCGGACUCCGCCUUCCCUGUCCUUCGCGCGCGCCUCCGACCAAGGGGAGGCUCCUCGAGCUCCCUGCCGAAGCCCGCCGUCCGCGAGGCGGGCCCGCGCCUCCGUGGCGGGGGGCGAGGAGGCCGGCCCCGCUUCUUCCGCGGCCGCGGCCGCCCUACUCGCCGGCGCGCAGUCGCGGCACGCCAUAUUCCGCGAGGAGCUCGUGAGGAGGGCCUACUACGCGGCCGAGGCGGCCCACCGCGGCCAGGUGCUCGACCGUGCCCCUCUCGCUCUCUGUCUGCUCAUCGUUUCGGCGUGGCCUGUCGGGCGUUUGAAGUGACCGGGCCGCGUUCCUCGGCUGGGCGCUUUGGUGGUUUCUGCAGAUGCGCGCGAGCGGCGACCCUUACCUACAGCACUGCGUGGAGACGGCGGCGCUGCUCGCGGAGCUCGGCGCAGGCCCUCCGGUUAUCGCGGCGGGGCUGUUGCACGACACGGUGGACGACGCAGGCCUGGAUUACGGCUCCAUCUCCGAGCAAUUCGGUGCUGGCGUUGCGGACCUCGUGAAGGGGGUAAGAAUUCGGAUCUAUCUAGUUACUGUACUGGAUAUAACUGACAUUAGGAUGUGACGAGCAGGCUCACUGAUAUGUACUGUAACUAUCUACUCCCUCCGUUCCUAUAUUCAAUGCAAACUACGUACGGAUGUAUAUAGACAUAUUUCUUUCUAGGAUUUCAAUGCAAACUACAUACGGAUGUAUAUAGACAUAUUUUAGAGUGUAGAUUCAUCCAUUUUGCUCCGUAUGUAGGCUGUAGUGAAAUCUCUAAAAAGACUUAUAUUUAGGAACGGAGGGAGUAGUAGAACUGUUUUUAUCUGUUAAAACUCGCUUAGUGUGGUAGUAUUAUUUUCUGGAACGAACCAAGGUAAGGUGCCAUUGCUGCUACACCUAUUCCACCAUACUGAUAAAGUGAUAAUGUAGCAAUUCGGAGCUUCUUCACUGGUAGAUUAUUCGUACCGGCAUCUGCAGAUAAUUUUCUGAGCAUGACUUGAUCUGUGCCGGUGUCCAGGAUCAGGCCAUAGUUUUUUAGGCGAAGGACCAGGUCAUAGUCACAAUUGAUUAGUUAUAUGGUUAUGGGCCCCUCUUUUUUUAUUUUCAUCUUUCUCGGUGUUGUCUUUUUCGUCAUAUGGAGAACUGGAUGUUGCUAGUUUGGCUACCUUGCUAAAAUAUUUUUUUACGAUUAUGACUGACAGACCAUAAUUGAUUGUUACGUUAUUGAUAGGGCUUCUAGAACAAAUACAAAUCUUAUGUUUAUCUAAGUUAGGUAUUAAGUUAACAUCACCUCUAUUAAAGUAGGCUGCAGGCAUCUCCUAGGAUUGACUUGUGCUUUGGUAUAUUUUAGAAUUUCUUCCUGGCUGUUUACCAGAUCAAAGCAGACACAGUUUUUGGUGAUUUUAUGUGUCUUCUUUCAUGAUAUCACAUUUAUUAUCUGGAACUUGGGAAAGGCUGUUGUUUGUUCUGCUACAUGUUGUCGCCUUGUCAGUCAUCUUUAUCAAUAUUACCCCUGCUAUAUGUUAGGGUGCUUCACCAUUUUUUGGCAGCAAGGGUGCUUUGGUCGUUUGAGGACAUUGAAUGACUAGACUUAGUUGUGUCGAAUAUUUGACAGGUUUCUAAUCUAAGUCAUUUGAGCAAACUGGCCCGUAGAAACGAUACAGCGAGCAGAAUUGAUGAAGCUGACAGACUGCGUACGGUCUUCCUUGCAAUGGAGGAUGCGAGAGCAGUGCUUAUCAAACUUGCUGAUAGACUACACAAUAUGAGGACGUUAGAUUCAUUGCCCAAGAUCAAACAGCAGUGCUUUGCGAAGGAAACACUAGAGAUAUUUGCUCCAUUGGCGAAUCAAUUGGGGAUCUUGAACUGGAAGGAGCAGCUUGAAAAUCUGUGUUUCAAGCAUCUUUACCCAGAGCAAUAUGACGAACUGUCAUCCAACCUUCAUGAGUUUUACAACAGAGAUAUGAUUGCAGCUGCAAUAAGGCGACUGGAACAGGCCCUUCAGGUGAGAGGGCUAUUCUAUCGUUCCAUAUCAGGGAGGCACAAGAGCAUCUACAGCAUCUACAGCAAGAUGACAAGGUAAACUCGUGCAUCAUGUUUUCAUUAUGGUGUCCUUACUAGAAAAACAAAUCAAAUGAUUUGCCUUUCAUUUUACUUUUGUUGUUAAUGAAGUUAAAUAAAUCAUUAUCUAUUUUAGAUAAUUGCUGCACUAACUUCAACAUGACCUUUGAAGUAACCUUGCUAGCCGGAGAGACAUACGCCACUAAACAUGCUAAUGUGAUUGCUUCUUUAUUACAGGAAAAAACUGGACAUGGAUGAAAUCUAUGAUGUACAUGGAGUGCGUGUGAUACUCGAGAAUAAAGCUGAUUGCUUCACCACAUUAGAAGUUGUCCAUCACUUGUGGCCUAGAAUUCCUGGGAAGUUUAAGGACUAUGUCAGCAGCCCCAAAUCUAAUGGGUAUGACCAUGCAAAAUAUUGCUAUACUACUAUGCAUAAAAAGAAAAGUAUGUCAAGGUGCUAACUUAAUGCUUCUUUACUUGUAGGUACCAAUCGCUGCACACGGUUGUUCUCAGUGAAGAAACACUCCCAUUAGAGAUCCAAAUUCGUACUGCGGACAUGCACUUGCAGGCAGAGUUUGGAAUCGCUGCACAUUGGAGGUACAAGGAAGGCGUUCGGAAUUGCUCUUCAUCUCUGCCUGAAAUGGUUGAAUGGGUUAGAUGUGUUGUUACAUGGCAGUGUGAAACUCUGCACACAGAUCACCCUUCGCCUCCUGGACUUGGUUCGUCCCCAAGGGCAACAUGCACCUUCCCUUCUGACUCUGAUGGCUGUCCUUUCUCCUAUUCAAAACAAUGUGACCACACUGGACCAAUCCUAGUAAUACUUCUGGAGAAUGAAAAGGUUAAAAGAACCGUCAUAAUAUUUCACGCUAGCGCUUUCUGAUUAACCAAAGUUGCAACGUGUUAAUUUAGAAGAGCAGCAGAACUGAAUUUGCUAUGUUUGUUUUCUUCAGAUGUCAGUGCAAGAACUCCCUCAAAAUUCGAAAAUACUGGACCUAUUGAAGAGGGCUUCAAGCUACGACAUGCAGUUGAGCCUAAGGCUGAACAGCCAUGCUGUGCACAACCUGAACCAGGAGCUGAAGAUGGGCGACGUGCUGGAGCUGAUUCCUUCAACUCAAUGCAAGUCUGGAGGCUACAUGAGGGAGUUCAACCAAAUGCCUGACCACCGUCUCGCGGUUUCGCAGUCUUGACAGCCGUAGACCAGCAGAUUUUGUGAAUGCAUAUAUGACAGCGCAGCUAAAUUGUCUGAAGUUUAGGUGACCACACUGAUAGAAUCAUAACAGGUAGUGUAGCAUUUGGUGUAUAUUUUUGUUGAUAAGUUUGUUCAAGUAGAGCAAAAAUAGUUAACUUGUAAAUAGUACGUGAUACAGCUCGGGAAUUGUUCUUAGUUUUAGAACACCUAUCGAGAAAAUAGAACAUGGUUAGGCCAAGUGAUUUCAGUUCUCUACUUGUUCAGAUAUUGGCUAUGAAUUUGCAAUUACAUGUGCAUAUUUUUUUUGCUCGGUGAGCUUGACUGCUUAAGAUGCAAAAUGAGAAGUGAAAAAGAAAAAGAACAGAAAGGCUGUGAUACUUGAUUUGAGUUCUCUUCUAAUUCAGACUUUUUUUUUUGAUCAAAGAAGGGCUUGCCCCUUCCGAUUUUCAUUACUAAAAACCACUGAGUUCUACAAGCGAGUUUAAACAGGAACAAAAAGAUCGAAACGAAGCCAACACGGCCAUACAGCAUCCCUAACGGCCAACAUAGGCCAGCCACCCCAUACAGCCCCAAGUUCACCAACAGCCACAGAGUCAAUCUGCCUUGAUCACCAUUACAUCAGAGCAAAAGCAAACAGCAAAAAAGGAGCCAAGGAUCCUGUCUACAGGAACAACAAACAUCAGGUCCACCACCGCAGGAGAGUCUUCAUUCCAAUCUUGCUACAUUGAUCCUCCAUCCAUGUUUGGCUGUGAACACUUCAUUUGCUGCCUGUUCUAGCACCCUUGCUCCCAGCUCCAACGUUUUUUUUUGACGACUCCUUUAUCUGCAUAAUGGACCAGUCAGUUAACCACCUGCACAUCAGUUUGACAACAUAUAAAGGAUCAUUUAUCCUUUUAUUUUCAAAGACAAUUGCAUUCCUGCUUUUCCAAAUUGCCCAAAGCAGGGCUGAAAUCCCCACCAGAACCAGUUUCUUAUCAUCUUUAUUAAAUUUUCUAAUCCAUUCCCCAAAACAGUCUUUUACAUUUGAUGGAGCAGUUUUAAAUCCACACACACCUAACUAAACUCCAUAACAAUGAAGCAACCGGGCAAGAAAAGAAUAAAUGAUCAAUUGAUUCAUCUUUCCCACAUAGAACAUAUCCUUUCCCACCCUUCCAGCCUUUCCUAAGCAGCACAUCUCUAGUUAGGAUGCUUUUUUUAUUAUUCAAUCAUAAAAACACUUUCAGUUUUGCAGUCACCUUGGUCUUCCACAAGUAUUUCUGUGGGAAUUUUAUCCCAACAGCUAUCAAUUUUCUAUAUAAGGACCCCACAGAAAACUUAUGAUCAACAGUGAGGGUCCAGAGAACUUUGUCUGCCCCUCCAUGCAUUUGAAUUUCCACACAUCUUUUUCUGAGACAGUUCCAAAGCCCCAAAGUCUCCACAUGCAGGGUCCUUCUAUUCUAAUUCAGACAUUGGCUAUGGAGUGCAAAUUUGUGAAAAUAUUUCUUUCCAGCGAGCUAGACAACGAAAAGACUCGGUGCUUUUACUGCCAAUGAUGCAAAAUCAUAAGUGAAAGGGAAAAACCAUGGACAAAAAGGCUAUAAUAAGUGUUUGAGUUCUAUACUUCAGACAUUGGCUUUGAUUUGUCUAAAAAAAAAGACAUUGGCUUUGAUUUGUCUAAAAAAGAAAAAGACAUUGGCUUUGAUUUGUCUAAAAAAAAAGACAUUCGCUUUGACUUUUGCAUUUGUGAGAAAUAUACUGCUCAAUGGAAAUGUGUGCCUGGGGCUUGGCUGUUUAAAGAUAUGCAGAAAUGAAAAAAAUAUACGACACCUGAGAGAUUCGACACCCUAUUGUUCUCACAAAGGAGAGACAUGUGUUUACAUGUUGACUCUUUUUUGGCUUUUGAUGUUUGGUGGAAAGAGGCAGAGAACAAGGUCAACUCAAAUCAAGCUAACAGAGAGAGGUGGAAGCAACUACUCUGGUCUUGUUCAUGAGACCUCCAUCUAGUCAAAAGUGGCAGUGCUAUCGUUGAAACAUUGGCAUUCCCCUGAGCAAAAGACGAGUCUAAACAAAUGUAAAACGUGUGGGAGAUACAUGAUAAGGAUGCGAUAUGGUCAGCUCAGUUCCACUUGGUGGCGGAUCCAGGAUUUGAAGUUACCUGGGCCGGACUUUUAAAGGUAACGAAAAACCAAAGUCUACAGUCAAAUAAGACAAUCUACAAAAUUAAUUGGCCAACUAGUUUGCAUUCAGGCAAGACGACCGACACAAUGAAUUAUUCAAAGUAGUUUCAUUCUCAAUAUGUAGGUCAAAAAAUCAUAAAAAGAAUCAAUCUGCUUCAUAUUCUUAGGUGCCUAUAAUAUCAUAUUCGUAAUUAAUUUCAGUAUCAACUUUCAGGAAUUAUGCCAAUCAGCCAAUGUGACAACAAAUUACAUAUGGCACCAGAAAAGAUUCGAUGGAGUUGGACAGACCUGGGCAGCCCCGCGGCAAGGCGGCAGUGGGGGGCGCCGCGUCAAGGCGGCAGUGGAGGUUCGCGUGACGGCGGUGAUAGUUUUUACGAGCGAUUGGAAUCGGGAAAGUCAACGCUCAGGCUACAUAUAAAAACAUAACGGGCUCAUCUAUUUUUUUUUCGUUCUGCCUUUUUUUAGAAUCCGUUGGGCCUUAUUUGGCUGGUCAAUCUCUAGCAUUACGUGGCCUAUCUUCUAGCGAACCAUUUCUUCCUUCUUCUCUUUUCCUGCUCGUCGCUCGACCUGAUCUUCAUCGAAUCUGCUCGACUUCCAUGGCGGCCACAAUCACCAGGGGUGCCCUGGUUCCCAAAAUUUACCCGGGGCGGCCGCCCCUACACGACCCUACGCUGGCACUGCCUUCCACUUGAGCUAUUACGCUGCAAUGUCCUUUCACAAAAGAAGUGUGGCAAAAGUUUAUUGCUAUGACGGAUCGAUGGUAAGGAUAGCACAGACAACAAGGACUAUCACGGGAUGGUGGUCUCGGUUACAGUGGGGGGCGACAAGAUCGGCUAUAAUGGAAAUGUACAUUGCAUGGCACCUACGAAAAUUGAACAGAGCAAUGCUAUAACUUUCGAGAGGGUUAGCUCCACUGCCGUUGCGGUAGCGGAGAGAGGCAAAGCUAAUGCUUGCCUGUUCGAGGAGGCAGUUACACUCUAGGGCUUUUAUGAUGUAAGUCGAUGUUCUCUUAGUUGAUGGGGUCCCUAGCCGUGAUGGUUGAUAACGACUCUGUAAAGGACAACUUUCCAACUCUCUUCUUAAUGCAAAGCAGGCACCCGCUAGUUCAUAAAAGAAAACAUUGGCAUUACUGUUGGCACAAACGAAGCACAAAAUUCAUGUUUCUCCCACCCGUUUUACAAUUGUUUAGACUCCUCAAGCAGUUAAACUAUUGUGUUUGCGUAGAAAAAAGUUGAAAUAUAAGUUUCGCGAUUUACAUUUGUUUGUGUCGAUUUUGAUUUGGUUUUGCGAUUUUUCGAGUAAAGCGGAAAAAUGAAAUGUAUUAGUAGGUACAAAUACCCAAUACAUUUGCUUAAGACAUGGAAUUGUCAAUUUACACAUGAAAUCGUCAAUAUACACAUAUGUUGCCUUUUCUGUGUCUAACAAUACCUGAUUUGUUCAAAGUGCUCAUAUGUGAGAACAUUAUCAUUGUUCAUAAUCUUUCCUAUCUUCCUUGAGCAAAGCAAAUGUUGUGGAGCUUGCUUGCCUAAGCAGAAAAAAGAGAGUAUUAUUGUUCAUAAUCUUUUCUUUCUUCCUUGAGCAAAGCAAAUGUUGUGGAGCCUAAAAGAACUGUUGUGGAGCUUGUUUGGUUGCAGCAAAAAGAAAAAAAGUAAUCAGCUAAAAGAACUGUUGUGGAGCUUGUUUGGUUGCAGCAAAAAUAAAAAAAGUAAUCAGCUAAAAGAACUGUUGUGGAGCUUGUUUGGUUGCAGCAAAAAGAAAAAAAGUAAUCAGCUAAAAGAACUGUUGUGGAGCUUGUUUGGUUGCAGCAAAAAGAAAAAAAGUAAUCAGCUAAAAGAACUGUUGUGGAGCUUGUUUGGUUGCAGCAAAAAUAAAAAAAGUAAUCAGCUAAAAGAACUGUUGUGGAGCUUGUUUGGUUGCAGCAAAAAGAAAAAAAGCAUUCGACGCCUGAGAGAUUCGAACUCUCGCGGGGAAACCCCAUGUACUUAGCAGGCACACGCCUUAACCACUCGGCCAAAGCGUCGUUGUUGUCAAGGUGGCUGAAAUGCAUCUAUUUGUAAGGAGUCACUACAUCCUUUUACUUAAACCCAAAUUCUAUUUUGCCUCUCCCGCGAAAAGUUGCCCGACACUCCGCAAAUCUGCGUCCUACCCUAAUGGACACCGGGGUCGGACGGACCCCUCCUGCUGCGGCGGCGGCGGACACCGGCGAUGAGCCACGGGACGCGCGUGUCGUGAAGGAAAUCUUGCGUUCGGUGGGGCUUGAGGAAGGGGAUUACGAGCCAGCGGUGGUCCACCAGUUCCUGAGGCUCGCCCACCGGUACGCCGGCGACGUGCUCGGCGACGCGCUGGCCUACGCGGAUCACGCCGGCAGGGCGUCGCUCCAAGAAGACGACGUCCACCUCGCCAUCCGCUCCAACGCCACGUUCGGCCACGAGCUGCCGGGGCGCGAGGUACGUGCGUAGCCCUAAACCUCUCCGUUCCUCAUGAGGAUUUCGCUGCUGUUGGUUGCAUCAAUCGCGUACGCGGCUGUCCGGGAUGGGUUUGUUUGAAUCCUGCGCUUUGGUGUCCAGAUCGGAACUUUACCCGCGGAUCACGGGAUCAGUAAUUAGACUGGUGUUCAAGAAGCAAGAGUUUGCAGUUUUCACGCACUCUCCGUUCCUUUCAGAUCGUGCGAGUUGGAAAUUCUCCGGAUUUCCUUGUAGAUACGAAACAAUUAAAUAUUUUAUUAUCAGAUAAUAGAAGUAUAAUUCGCCUGCCUUUACAUCGAAAAACUAAAUAAAUCUGUAAAAUGAAAUUGGAACCCUGAUGUUCCGCGGAAACAUGCAAUCAAGAUGAAGAGACACAAACUUGGAGAUCCGUUAGGAAUAUCAUAAGAACUGACUCGAUGUCAUCAUUUUAAAACGGGUGCUAACGGCACCUACAAAGGUGGAGUCACUCCCUGACUCUUUGGUUCCUCGUCAUGAGGAGUUCAUAGUAAAACAGUUUAUAUAAUAAAUAUGGCAUGUCUUUAGAUUGGCUCUACAGAAAAGUUAUAAUUAAAUGCGACGAUGAUACAUGGCUUGACUCUUAUUAGCACAUGUGCAAUAGUGCUAUCUUAACAAUAUCAAUAUCAGGUAGGAUGAUUUCUAAGUUGAGAAGAGAGCGAGACUGAAAAAAGAGGUUUGCAUUCUCUUAUAGCUUUUUUUUCGAAAAUCAGGGCCUCCCCCCGGCUCCAUUUUCACUAAGUUGAGUAGAAGGCAAACGAGUUCACAAACAACCCACCACACAACACCUACGGAGAAACAACCAGACAGAAAGUUCCUGCUGUAUUAUUACAACGCUUUUUUCCUAGCUACUGUGACUGACUCUAGAGACAAAACAAGAUCAAACAUGCAAUUCCCAUCAAGGGAACUACUCCCUCCGUUCCGAAUUACUUGUCGCAGGUAUGGAUGUAUCUAGAUGUAUUUUAGUUUUAGAUACAUCCAUUUCCGUGACGAGUAAUUUGGAACGGAGGGAGUACCACAACACGACAGCUUCCCAUUACCAUCCGGAGAAGACCACCUGAAUGGCGUCCGCCUCUCGAGGAUUAUGCUGUUGGUACUCCAGUGUGGUCCUCCCUCCAUGAUUCGACCUCCCAACAACUGCAGCCCAGGAAAGUGGCCCGAAUGCUGUCUUGCACGUCGUCAGUAUGGCUCCAACUCCAGAUGGUUUUUCAGUCUCCUCCACAUUGCACUUUGAAACUCCAACAAUUUCCACCCUGUAGAUCCUCGAAGGGUUUUGUCAAGUCCCUCAGGUACCGAUAGACCAAGCCAAACACCUGCUUCAUAGAGACCCAUGUACAUUUGUUAAAAACUAGGGAAUUCCUGCAAUUCCACAAUCCCCACAGGACAACAGAGGUGAUUACAUUGAGAUGUAAACACUUUUUUUCUCACACAACCACCAUUUAGCAACCUUCAAAGUUUAAAAAAGAAAUACCAAACAGUUCUUCUUCCUCCGGCCACAUCAACAUUGCUACCACACAUUCAAAGAAUAGAUGGUACACCGACUCAAUCUCGGUACAGUGAAUGCACUCCAGGGGUUUGUCCACCCCCCUUAAUCUCAAAUUGUCACAUGUCAUAAUUUUGUUCUGAGAGAAUAGCCAAAGAAAACCUUGGAUCCUAUGCGACACUUUAAUCUUCCAAACCGCUGGCAGGAAGAUAGGAUGUACUCCCUCCAUUCCUUUAUGUAAGGUGUAUUAUUUCCGGCACGGUGACCAAGGCACAUAAUUAUACACAUGUUAGGACGAAAUUAACCUUGGCAAAAUCACUGAUUAGCGGCAACUAAAUCUUUAGGCAAGGAAAGUAAGAGAUAAACACAAUCGGGAGAGAGAUACUUUCCUUUUUUUCUCUUUACAAGAAAAUAUGCAUGCAAUCAGGGGAGAGAUACUCUCCUUCUUUUGAAGGGGUAACGAUGGAAUUACGAGGAAUUAGAAGAAAUGCACCUUACAUUGUGGAAUUUUAUCAAAAAACAAAUACACCUUAUAUAAAGGAAUGGAGGGAGUAUGCCUCUAAAGUUAACUAUUACAUACAGAGACUUUGAAGAAUAAACCCCUUUAGAUUCAUACUGCCAGAUCAAGGAGUCAUUCUCCUGGCUAAAUUUAGUGAGUUUGAGAAUAUUAAUCAGAUCAAACCAUUGGAUCAUAAGUUCAUGAAAAAAGGUUCUUCUAAAAGAGCAUUCAAGACUUGACCAUCCCACAACUCUGAAAUGGUCUUGUUUUUUUUCAUUAACUAAGUAAUACUGAUUCCAGAAUUGUGUAGCCAAAGGAGCAUUCCCAUGCCAAAUAUCUUCCCAAAACCUAAUCUGCCUACAAUCUCCUACUGCCCACCUAUACACCACUCUCACCGCUUGCAUUGCCCACAAAAAACUCUUCCAGAAUUGAGAAGAAUUGUUAUCAUGGCAGCAAAGAACAUUGGGUUUUUUGGUGUUAUAUUUACUAUCAAUAACCCUCCUCUAGAGGGACCCUUCCCUGACGAUAUACCUCUUAACCAAGAUCCUAUCAGACAUACAUUCAUAUCUUGCAGAUUUAGCACUCCCAUUCCCCCAAAUUCCUUCCUCAUGCAAAUAGAUUGCCAGUUAGCAAGGUGGAUUUUAUGAUUCCCCUCACUACCACUCUAGAGACAGUUAGCCAUGUGGGAAUUAAUGAGCUGAAGGGCCCACUUGGGAAACUUAAUAAAAGAUAGUAGAUACAAUGGGAUACUAGCCAAACAUGAUUUGAUCAAAGUUACCUUUCCUAGGAAGGAUAACAACUUGCCUCUCCACCUAGCUAUUCCAGCCAAAAUUUUAUCAAUUAAAAACUGGAGAUCUUCCCUACUAAGCUUAUUAAAGUGCAGAGGGAUUCCCAAGUGCUUAAUGGGAAACUGCCCAACUACACAUUGAAAGAUAUCUAAAAAACUUUUCAACUCCAUUGGUUCCAUGUUAAUGGGGACCAGGGCACUUUUAUGAUAAUUAAUCCUCAUGCCUGACACUUGCCCAAAACAGGUUAGUAUCCACUUCAGAUCCAGAGCAACUCUACUAUCUUUUUGAAGGAACAAGAGGGUAUCAUCUGCAUAUUGUAGACACAUAACCACCCCAUCCACAAAUUCAGGCCACAAGCCUCUAACCAAACCAGCUUGUGCCCCUUUGAUCAUCAUCCUAGAAAAAACAUCUAUCACCAAAUUAAAAAGGAGGGGAGAAAAAGGAUCUCCUUGUUUCAAGCCUUUGCCUAUUAAGAAGAAACCACUUCCUUCCCCAUUCAACUUGAUUCCAACAGAGCCUCUCCGAGUUAGACUUUUCAUACACCCUAUGCAUUUUAGGCCAAAGCCCCUAAGAGCUAGCAUUUCAUACACUAAAUCUAAGUUCACCUAGUCAUAUGAUUUUUCAUAAUCAAUCUUAAAAACUAGCCCAUGCCAACCAGAAGAAUGUACACCAUGAAUGAUUUCAUGGUCCGUAACAACACUUUCCAAGAUGUACCCCCCCCCCUAAUAAAAGUUGACUGGAAACCAGAAAUUAAUCUACCAAUGAUCAGAGCCAACCUAUUAGUGAGGACUUUAGUAAAGAAACGAUCUCUUAGUAAGGAGGAUAAGACAAUUCUCUCCCUUGUUUCAAAUUUCAUCUCUUAGUUAACUAUUGUCUAGUUUAGCCCAUAAUUUUAGGAGCAUGCAACAAUCAAUUGUCAGAGAUAUCUAUAGCACGAUAACUUUUUUUCCUUCUCUAGAAGGCAUGCAUUGCAUAUGAAAAGAUUGUCUUAUCAUUCAAGAACAAGUUUGACCCUAAGAAAUCAGAUUUGUUUUCCUCUCCUUAUUAUCUCCCUCCCAUAUCAACUAUUAAUCAAUUAAGUGACAACAUUAAGAGUCAACACAUGGACUAGGGCAUGCAUGUCCAAUAUGUUAUUGUAUGAAUGCAAAUAAUGUACAAAAAGACACAUAUGAGGUCCAUGAUCCCAUAUAAGGAUCAAAUCCAUCCUUUUGUAUGAACAUAAUUCAUAGUGGCGAGUGGCUUACCACUACCAAUCAUAUGUAACUUUGGUGCUUUAACUAGAUUUUUGUUUUUGUUCUCUUUUAGGUUUCUGGCCAAUCCAUCUACACUAUCAGUAGGCAAAUAAGACAAAAUGACCCUCACAUGUAAGACUUGGAGAAAAGAAACAAAAUAUUUUCUUAUCAUUCACUUUAACACCCAAAAUAACAAAAUAUUUUUUGGAAAUAAAGGAAUUCUUAUUGUCCGGUAUGCCAUUUGGAUAAGUUUCACUUAUUAUCUAGUCAAGUAUAGAUUACACACGAUGAUUGAAUUAUCAAACUACACCCCAUAAGUUAUCUAGCUACAUAUUAGCAAGGGAUUUAAUUAAACCUUAUCCUGGCUUGGAUCCCUUAAUGGUGCCAAGUUCACAAUAUUAACAUUUAAUUAUGAUGAUUAGUUGUGUUUAUUCCAUUUUCAAGGAGCCAUGAAGUUUCAAUGGGCUACUGACCUAAUGCAUCACAUACAUUUCAUGCGAGCACUAUAUUGUUAUCAUAACAUUCUGAUUCUUCACUUUGGUAGGUUUUUCUUGAAAUGGCUCAUAGCUGGAACAAAACCCCUAUACCCAAGCCCCCUCCCGGAUCAAUCUGUCUACCACAUGACCAAGACAUGAUGCUGGGACAAAAAUACUUGUGCAUUCCACAAAUGAAGCCACCGUCUGAUAAUGUUGAGGGAACCAAGAACGACAACACCGGUGAAAACUUCAAUCCUAAAGUUGCUUCUCCCAGUUGCAACAAUGAAGAUCAAACUAGUAGUAGCAGUCAACAAUAUUCUAAGAGAAUUCCCUCCCAACUCAAUGCUAUGGCCGCUAGGGCAGCAAGGCGAUGUAUAAUGAAGAACAGAAGAUCCAAAAAGUCUCAGCCUUGAAUAUAUGAUUAAUUCAUGUUCAACUCAUUAUGUCUUUUUGUUUAAUUUGUUUGUUGUUGUUGGAAAAAUCUAGCAUGAUGAUGUAAAAGGGUUGUUGGCACCAACAAGUGCAUCUCAACUUGGCACAUCUAAACUUUAUGCUCUCUUGCUAGUGGUCAUGAUUGUUUCCAUAAAUUGUUAUGUGCAUGGUUAUUGGAUUGUGUCACGCCAAAAAAUAUUGUAUACAUGGUUAUUGGAUCGUGAGAUUCAAAAAAUAUUGUAUACAUGGUUAUUGGAUCGUGACAUGCCAAAAAUAGCAUGGAGGCUAAAACCCCACAUGGCAAGAUUGACAUAUGGAAGGAGUGUUUGUGUGGUGUGAGGAGGUGAACCAUAUGAAUCAAAACAAAGGUUCAAGAUUAUACUUCAGUCAGCUCAAUCCAGACACAAAAGUUACAUGAUCAUAAGCAUCUUGAUGUUAACUUUGAACCCGGAGAAUAUGCUUACCUCUAGGUGAUACCCACUACAGAGGUUUCAGGCAAAAUGAAAACUUAUCCCAAGAUUUAUUGGACCUUUCCAAGUCUCGUCAAGAAAAGGAAAUGUGGCAUAUCUGCUAGGCCUACUAGAAGACCUAGCAGAGGUCCAUGAUGUGUUUCACACAUCACAACAUGGAUGCCGACAUCGUGUCCCACAACAUGGAUACCGUGAGGCCGGGGAGAAUGAGCCGAUGCUCGCGAAGGCGAAGGCGAAGGAGCAAGCAGAAGGUAACUGUUCUGAUGAACCCUUACUUUUUUCUCCUUUCUGUAGGUUUGAUGAUAUGUGUUCUAAAGAUGUUGAGAAGGAGAUCCAUCGUAUCCGUGUGACGCCCUAGGAGAAACACUAUAUAACUCUAGCACCUCCACUAUAAUUCACAUAGUAUCGACCCCAAGAGGCCCACUAAACAAACAUGCAUGCAACAACAUGCUCCGUAUGUGGGCGGUCAGUACCACAACACAAUUCCUCAACAUGUCUGCAAUAAUGUAUAUACAAUGACUCAAGAAGUCAAAUUUAACGAAUGAAUACAUAUAAGGGUCUGACAACCAAGAUAUAAAUCUCAUAACUCAAGCGAAAUGUACCUUACACAUGUCACAAAUGCCUUAAGAAAGGCUAAAGAAAAGCAAGUGGCGUCAUAUCCCUGCCCAGACCAUUUUCUAGGGGAUAACCAUAGCUAAUGUCGUCCUUGACCAAGAGAUUAUCCGCUCCAAAUGCUACUAUCUGAUUUGGAGCAUCCAGGUGAAAAGAAUAAAUAAAGCAUGGUGAGUACCCAACUAUACUUGGAAGACUUACAUCACUAUACUAAGUACUAGAUCAUCGAUGGUGCGCGUUGCCGCGCCCGUCUUUUUGUAAUAUUGAAUGUUAGUUCUUGAAGCAAAUAUUGAAUGAUUGUUACAACACAACAAUUGUCGUAAUUGGCAUCUCUAGCACAAUGCUAUCAUCUUUGUUUCAUUGUUAAGUGAAAUUAAGUGUACACGUUUCAUAUCUCUCUUGUCCUCCCACAUGUUUUAAAGAUACUACACAACAUGAUUGGUGAAUCUUCUCAAAAGAGAAGUGCGCCAUUUCUUCCAUGUCAAUACGUUAGCAUAAAGUUCAUAUAGGUUAAAAGGUGUGCACAAAGUAGACAUAACUAAGAUAAACCACAUUUCCAGUGAUGAAGCCCAUGGCACAAACACAUUUAAAACUGAGAAACAAUGCCGAAAACUGGAAUAGGGGAUUAAAAGAAAAAUUAAAUUAGCAACAAAGUUCUUUAUUCAUGAUGCCCACCUACACACAAAUGUUAGUAGCCUUUGUUGAAACACCUAUCAUAUUGUGAACUGGCCUUCCUCAGGCAUUUCAACCAUCUCGGUAUUCUACUAGGUUACACUAAUUUUUCAUCACAUAACACAAGCCUAAGCAAACAAUGCAUUAUUAUGACAAACCAUAUCGAUUAACGUGUUCCCAAGUGAGUGUACAUUUUUUUCUCCACUCUCCACUCCUUUCAGCACAUAGUGUAGUGGAGAUCUCCAUUUUACACCUAACCAUAAAAAUAUGAGAUUGUAUUUAUAGGGCAGCCCGGUGCAUGUAGCUCCCUCUUGCGCAGGGUCUGGGGAAGGGUCCGACCACUUUGGGUCUAUAGUACGUAGCCUUUCCCUACAUUUCUGUAAGAGGCUGUUUCCAGGACUUGAACCCGUGACCUCGUGGUCACAAGGCAGCAUCUUGAUUAUAUUUACAGAGAAAUAAAAAAGAAACAUCUAGUGAGGGAACAAAUGCACUGUUAGUCAAGUAUGCAGUUAACAUAGCAUUGUUAAUCAAGCCACGUCAGUCUUUCAUAUUCUCCCUUGCUGGUCAUGUUACCUGCACCACUACCACCAAGAGAAUAAGGGCUUCGGCAAGCAAUGACGUAGCAGCUAUCGAAGGAACGACGCAUAAUCCGAGCAAUAUAUACAAAUACUAAAACAUGAAAAGACGAGAUAUGGCAGUCAUGGUGAAGUAAUCUGGCCGGGAGCCAUUGGAGACUGGGAAGUGAGAAGUGAAGAAUUCACCAAAUCAAAAUUUGAGAACUUGUCUAAAUUUUUUACCCCAAUGGACUGACCAUGAACACCACCCGCAAAAAGAAGUUUAGGAAGAUAUUAUCAGAAUGUAACCUAUGGUGGAAAUGGGGAUCAUAGAAUGAAGAAAUAAUGCCGAGUCCAUUUUUCAGUAGAGCAAUAGAAGUUCCUCUAAAUAUGUAGUGGAAUAUCAUGGAAGCUCACUACAAAGAUUUGAAAGUUACAGUAGAUAAUUGCAUAGUUAUAUUACCAGACACAUAACUUGCACCUCCAUAGACACAUUCUUCAAGUACUAAGUACAUACAUGCCCUUGUAAGUUUAGACCUUGUGUGUGUAAAUGUACAACAUGAAAUGGAAAGGGACAAAAAAAUGGAGUAGACUUUACAUAAAUAGAUGCCAAGGAGAAAGACAAAAAGUUCUACCAUUAUGAUUGUGAUAAACUAAGAAGGAAAGGUGUUGAGUCUUUUGAAGCGGUUGAAGAGAUUGCGAAGAACGUCAACACGAGAGUCACGUUGAGUUGAGACUCCUUCGUUUACUUUGGAGAGCCUAUCCCAGAUAAGCUUAGCAGUUUCCAAAGCACUCACUCUACCAUACUUCCCUUUACUCAGAUGACCACAUAUGAUAUUCUUCGCUUGAGAAUCGAGUUGCUUGAAUCUCUUCACAUCAGCAGCAUUCAGGGAAGGUGUGACCGAGAGAACACCAUUUUCCACAACAUACCAGAGAUCGUUGUCAAAUGCCUCAAGAUGCAUUCGCAUCUUAUUCUUCCAGUAGGGGUAGUCCGUGCCAUCAAAGGUAGGACACCCAGCAGAGAAUUUGAUCAUACCUGCGGUCGACAUAACUAGAACUCCAGGUGGUUAAACCAAAAUCACAUAGAACAAGGGAGUACCUUGCUCUGAUACCAAUUGAAAGUGCGUUAUAUCGACUAGAGGGGGGGUGAAUAGGCGAUUUUUAUGAAUUCUUCACUGAGGAAUUUGCUGGUGAGGAAAUUCCUAAAUUAAGAACUACUUGCAGCGGAAUAAGUACUCAGAAAGGAACAUAACAAAACACAAGCAUAGUCAUCAUGAUGAAAUAAAGACAAGCACAGAGUACAUAAAGCGUAAACAUGGGAUAACACAAGGAAGAAGACGGACAUACUGAAUAAAUAGAACUGAGGAAAUUGAGAAAGUCUUCAGUCAAUGUCUUCAAACAGAUAUGAACAGGCACAUAACAACAUAUAUGAGGAAAUGAAAGAGUUGAGGAAAUAGAACCAGUAAGCUCGGUGAAGACAGCGAUUUGGUAGACCAGUUCUAACUGCUGUCUCAGUUGUACAUCUGGUUGGAGCGGCUAAGUAUUUAAACUCGAGGACACCCAGUCCCGGACACACAGUCCUCACCGUAUUCUCCUUGAGCUAAGGUCACACAGACCUCGCCCAAUCACUCGUGGUAAGUCUUCAGGUGACUUCCGAACCUUCACAAACUCGGUCACUCGGCGAUCCAUAACUUGCACCUCCAUAGACACAUUCUUCAACUUGUAACGCUUCCGGAUCGCGAUCUUCAAGGGUAUGAAGAUACACUCCUCUCUCUCUCUCAUUGCUAGUCUCUCCAUAGAUUGAUCUUGGUGAUGUGCAGAAUUUUUUUAAUUUCUGCAACGAUCCACAACAGUGGCAUCAUGAGCUAGGUCUAUGCGUAGUUUCUAUGCACGAGUAGAACACAAGUUGUUGUGGGCGUCGAUUUUGUCAAUUUACUUGUCGUUACUAGUCUUAUCUUGAUUCAUCGGCAUUGUGGGAUGAAGCGGCCCAGACCGACCUUACACGUACGUUUACGUGAGACAGGUUCCACCGACUGACAUGCACUAGUUGCAUAAGGUGGCUAGCGGGUGUCUGUCUCUCCCACUUUAGUCGGAUCGGAUUCGAUGAAAAGGGUCCUUAUGAAGGGUAAAUAGCAAUUGGCAUAUCACGUUGUGGAUUUGGCGUAGGUAAGAAACGUUCUUGCUAGAAACCUAUAGCAGCCACGUAAAAAACUUGCAACAACAAUUAGAGGACAUCUAACUUGUUCUUGCAGCAUAUGCCGUGUGAUGUGAUAUGGCCAAAAGGAUGUGAUGAAUGAUAUAUGUGAUGUAUGAGAUUGAUCAUGUUCUUGUAAUAGGAAUCACGACUUGCAUGUCGAUGAGAAUGACAACCGGCAGGAGCCAUAGGAGUUGUCUUAAUUUAUUGUAUGACCUGCGUGUCAAUGAAAAAGUCAUGUAAUUACUUUACUUUAUUGCUAACUGUUAGCCAUAGUAGUAGAAGUAACAGUUGGCGAGAAAACUUCAUGAAGACACGAUGAUGGAUAUCAUGGUGUCAUGCCGGUGACGAUGAUGAUCAUGACGCCCCGAAGAUGGAGAUCAAAAGGAGCAAAAUGAUAUUGGCCAUAUCAUGUCACUAUUUGAUUGCAUGUGAUGUUUAUCAUGUUUUUACAUCUUAUUUGCUUAGAAUGAUGGUAGCAUAAAUAAGAUGAUCCCUCAUUAAAAUUUCAAGAAAGUGUUCCCCCUAAACUGUGCACCGUUGUGAAAGUUCAUUGUUUUGAAGCACCACAUGAUGAUCGGGUGUGAUAGAUUCUAAUGUUUGCAUACAACAGGUGUAAGCCAGAUUUACACAUGCAAAACACUUAUGUUGACUUGACGAUCCUAGCAUGUACAGACAUGGCCUCGGAACGCAAGAGACCGAAAGGUUGAACAUGAGUCGUAUAGUAGAUACGAUCAACAUGAAGAUGUUCACCAAUGAUGACUAGUCCGUCUCACGUGAUGAUCGGACACGGCCUAGUUGACUCGGAUCAUGUAUCACUUAGAUGACUAGAGGGAUGUCUAUCUGAGUGGGAGUUCAUUAAGUAAUUUGAUUAGAUGAACUUAAUUAUCAUGAACUUUGUCUAAAUAUUUGCAAUAUGUUUUGUAGAUCAAAUGGCCCACUCUAAUGUUGCCCUCAACUUCAACGCGUUCCUAGAGAAAACCAAGCUGAAAGACGAUGGUAGCAACUAUACGGACUGGGUCCGGAACUUGAGGAUCAUCCUCAUAGCUGCCAAGAAAGCAUAUGUCCUAGAAGCACCGCUAGGUGAAGCACCCAUUUUCCCAGCAACUCAAGACAUUAUGAACGCCUGGCAGUCGCGUAGUGAUGAUUACUCCCUAGUUUAGUGCGGCAUGCUUUACAGCUUAGAGCCAGGGCUCCAAAAGCGUUUUGAGCAACACGGAGCAUAUGAGAUGUUCCAAGAGCUGAAAAUGGUUUUCCAAGCUCAUGCCCGGGUCAAGAGAUAUGAAGUCUCCGACAAGUUCUACAGUUGUAAGAUGGAGGAAAACAGUUCUGUCAGUGAGCACAUGCUCACUAUGUCCGGGUCACACAACCGUUUGUCUCAAUUGGGAGUUAAUAUCCCAAAUGACUCGGUCAUUGAUAGGAUCCUCCAGUCGCUCCCACCUAGCUACAAGAGCUUUGUGAUGAACUACAAUAUGCAAGGGAUGGAGAAGUCCAUUCCUGAGUUAUAUUCAAUGCUGAAAUCAGCGGAGGUGGAGAUCAAAAAGGAACCUCAAGUGUUGAUGGUAAAUAAGACCACUAGUUUCAAGAAGGGCAAGGGUAAGAAGAACUUCAAGAAGGAAGGCAAUGGAGUUGCCGCGCCUGGUAAAUCAGUUGCCGGGAAGAAUCCAAAGAAUGGACCCAAGCCCGAUGUCAGUGUCAAAACCGGGGGAUCUCGGGUAGGGGGUCCCGAACUGUGCGUCUAGGCGGAUGGUAAUAGGAGAUGAGGGACACGAUGUUUUUACCCAGGUUCGGGCCCUCUUGAUGGAGGUAAAACCCUACGUCCUGCUUGAUUAAUAUUGAUGAUGUGGGUUACAAGAGUAGAUCUACCACGAGAUCAAGGAGGCUAAACCCUAGAAGCUAGCCUAUGUUAUGAUUGUUUCGUCCUAUGGACUAAAGCCAUCCGGUUUAUAUAGACACCGGAGAGGGCUAGGGUUACACAGAGUCGGUUACAAUGAUAGGAGAUCUACAUAUCCGUAUCGCCAAGCUUGCCUUCCACGCCAAGGAAAGUCCCAUCCGGACACGGGACGAAGUCUUCAAUCUUGUAUCUUCAUAGUCUUGGAGUCCGGCCGAUGAUGAUAGUUCGGCUAUCCGGACACCCCCUAGUCCGGAACUCCCUCAGUAGCCCCUGAACCAGGCUUCAAUGACGACGAGUCCGGCGCGCAUAUUGUCUUCGGCAUUGCAAGGCGGGUUCCUCCUCCGAAUAAUUUAUAGAAGAUUGUGAACACCAAGAUAGUGUCCGGCUCUGCAAAAUAAAUUCCACAUACCACCGUAGAGAGAAUAAUAUUCACACAAGUUCAAUCUGCUGACUUAUUCCGUGGCGUGACGUCACACCACAACCAAGCCUUUAUUUGAAACAUUUUUAUUGUACCACUUCAGCGCAUUUAGCGAAGCGGUUUCCUUGGCACGUCCUGUCGAAGCAGAGAUCGUGUUCCCCUUAUUCCGGGAUUCCCAUCAAUACGGACGAGGGUAACCCAACCGCGCCAUCAAUCGCGACGCUUGGGGGAUAAGCGAGUUUUACCAGGCCGGUGGGGACGCGUGUUUCUGUCCGCCCAUAUAAGGGGAUAAAGAUCCAACCCUUUUACCUGCGCCUUCUUCCUCCUUGGCUUAUCCAUCUCUGCGAACUCGAGCUCUAGCGCCCAAGCCCGCGCAUCUCACCUCAACCUCCUCCAAAUAUGUCCGGAGCGGGAGGCAAGUGGAUGGCCUCCUCCGUCACGGAGGGGCAUAUCCAGAAGCUGCGCAGCGUCGGAUACUUGUCCAGCGACAUCGCGCAUUGGCUCCCCGAAGAGGGAGAGCUCAUCCCCACCCCUAGGCCCCAUGAGAGGGUAGUAUUCCUUCCCCAUUUCCUCCACGGACUAGGCUUCCCACUUCAUCCCUUUGUCCGGGGGCUCAUGUUCUAUUACGGCCUAGAUUUCCAUGAUCUGGCCCCGAAUUUUAUUCUCAACAUCUCGGCGUUUAUCGUCAUGUGCAAGGCCUUCCUCUGCAUCCAGCCCCACUUCGGCUUGUGGCUCAAGACCUUCAGUGUCAAGCCGGAGGUUGUGAAGGGCAGCCAAGCGGAGUGCGGAGGCGCCAUGGUGGGCAGGAUGUCCCACGUUACGUGGCUGGAGGGCACCUUUGUGGAAACUAUCAAGGGGUGGCAAUCGGGGUGGUUCUACAUCACCGAGCCGCGUGAUCCCGAAUGGGCAGCGGCCCCCGAAUUCAGAUCCGGCAUCCCCACACGGCUCACCUCCUGGAAAGAGAGCGUCCGGAUUUGGGGCGAUUCGGAGGAGCUGACCGGACUCCAAGCCUGCAUCCAAAAGCUGGUGGACAAGAAGCUUAAGCUUGUCAACAUAGUCCAGGUCAUGCUCAUCCGCCAGAUUCUCCCGUGCCAACGACGGGGCUUCAAUAUGUGGGAGUUCAAUUCGGCGCAGCACCAGACUUUGAAUGGGCUCUUCGACACUACGUACGAAGAGGUCUGGAAGGUGCUGUUCAAGGGCACCGAGGCUCCCGCAUCCGCUACCGAAGAUCGCGGAUUCAGCUCGCAGCGUCCAGCUGACGAGGUAAGUGAUAUUGUCCUUUAGGGGACGCUUGUUAUUCAUAGUUUAACUCUAUGCGGGAUCUAAACUCCCUUUCCUUUGAAAGGGCUGGCUGAAGAAGGCCGCGCAGGCUAUCUGUCCGGCCCCAUUGCCAGAGGACCCAGCUGACACCCGCCUAACAUGGCUGCUGGCUCCGGCACCCCACGUGGUGCCGGAGAAGAAGGCCAAGAAGAAGGCCACGGGGACUCGGAAGAGUUCCCGUUUUUAGGUGCUAUCGGAUGAUGAAUCCGAGGCCGACUCCUCCCACCAAGGCGAGGAGGAGAAGAAGAAAGCCUCUCCCCCAGUGGGGGGAGGGAAGAAAAGGAAGGCCUCCCCAACAAGGGAGGCCGAAGGGUCCAAGAGGGGAAAAACUCUUUCCCCGGACUGUUCCGCCAACGCCAGUGAUGAUGACAAGGACUGGCCUCCAAGGGCCAAGCCCCUGGCGAGAUCGUAAGUAUCCGAACUCCCGAAUAACUUCAAGGUUUUCGUUUUCCGUCACAUUAUGUCUUUCUAAUGCCGCAUACAACCCUGCAGUCCGCCUAAGGAUGAUCUCCCCACUUCGUCGAGCGAGUCCUUAAGGGCGUCGGAUAUGGAUUCUCUUCCGACUGCCUCCACCCCCCGUGAUGCGGAUGAUGCCGAGGUGGGAUCCCAGGAAGGGACCCACCAGGAGGAGAGGGCCCCGGAGGUGUCGCAGGACAACCUCCCGGACGUUGCACCAGACUCAGCCCCGAAACCCAUAGUGGCUCCGGAGUCCGGCGGGCGACCCCUUCGGAAGAAGGGCAAGACCGCGACGCCGGCUGCCUCCGUCCAACCAGAGGUGCCGGAUAAUUUGCUGGAGGCGCUCAACGGCGCCUCCAUCGAAGAGGAACACCGCACUGUUAUGAGUGCGGUGAUUCAGAAGGUUCAGAUCGCCAAGAGCGGGCUGACCGAAGCCUGCAGCAGCCUUCUAACAGGCUUUGAAGUAAGAAUUUCAAUAUAUGUAAAAUGGUAUCACAUAGACAGUAGCCCCUGAUGCUCGGUUCAGUGUUCGGAAAGAAAAGCCGGACUGAGGAUCUUUAGAAAGAUAAAUGCAGGAGUCAUGAAAAUAUGUCAAUAUGGGAUUGUAGGCUGUGCUGCUGACCUCUGCCGCACUGACUGCGGAGGUCGAAACUUUGAAGGAAAACCUCGAGCGGUCCGAGAACGAGCUCGGCCAUGCCAAGAAGCAGCUCGAGGAAAAAGAAGGUGAGUAAUACCUUAUGAAAAUUGUACCUUACAGAAAAGGAUUUGGUUGCAAGAAAAAUGACAAGGAUAACUGGGGUAUUGCAAGGGCCACUGACGAGGUGGCGACCCUGAAGGAGGCGGUGGCCGCGGCCGAACGCAAUGCGGCUGCGGAGCGCACCGAGCGAGAGAAACAUGAGGCGCAGGUGGCGGAGGUACAGCAAGAGCUCCAGGAUCUCGUGAAGAAACACGAGAGCCUGGAGCGUGACUCGAAGACUCGAGAGUCUAAUCUUGCAACGACUCUUGAGAGUGCCAAAGCCGCUAAGGCCGAAGCCUACAAGGCCCUCCAGGAGAUAGAGGCGGUGAAGAAAAUAGCAGCGGGUAAGGCAUUUUUCAUGCAAAGUAAGCAUGUGAGUGUUAAUUACCUAUUGCUUACCCGAAUUCGGAGCUCUCCAGGGGCGUUCGCAGAUCUUCCCCGCAGCGUGUCCGAUGCUGCCGCAUUCUACCGGGCCGAGAAGGGGAGCUCAACGGAGAAGGUCUUCUGGUCUCAGUAUGCUGAGGCCGGACAUCCGGUGCCCCUUAGCGACCAGCUGAAGCAGCUCGUCGAGCUCCAGAAGGCGGCCGAACAGGCCAUGAAGGGCCUCAUAGUUCGGCUGUGGCCUAAGGAGGCUAUGCCUGGGAGCUACUUCGGCUUGGUGCGGCGGUUGGUGGACGCGUGCCCGUGGGUUGAAGUUAUCAAGCACUCCGCCUGUAUCGAGGGUGCGCGUCGGGCCCUUGCCCGCGCAAAGGUGCACUGGGGCAAGAUGGAUGCCCAGAAGCUUGUGACGGACCCCCACCAGAGGGCAAGGAGCAUCGCACGCCCGAGAUGUAUUAUACGAGUGUGCUGAAGGGCGCCUGCACUAUUGCGGAUGAGUGCUCCAAAGAUGUAAUAUUUGAGUAGACUCGCAUUUUGUUAUCCUGUGCGCUGAAAACUUGGUUCAUAUGCGCUAAGAAACGCUUGUUAAUUUAAAAUAUUACCUUCUGUGCGGCUGUUUAUCAAAUCUGAGAGAUGGCAAGUCGUCGGCUUCAGCCCCCAUGCCACGAGUGCUGGGGUGUUCGGGAUAAACUCGAGUGCUCUUGUUCCCAUUUUUGGGUCCAUCUAGGGAGGCGCUCAACACAACGAACAAGGCAAUCGGACUUAUAAUGCUUGAACACUCUAACUUAGCCAUAGAAUUCUAUAAUUUUAAAUUUCGGCGAAGCCCCUAGUUUUCGGAAGGCCGAAUUUGGGGCGCUAUCCACGCCUUGACCGGACAGAAUCCGGCUCCUCGCUCGAAGCGGCAUAAGUCUUUAGGGAUUCGCAAAGAACCUAUCGAACAACGACCAGCUCUCGCCUCAUCAUGAUGGUCAAUUUUAGCUUUCUCCACUGAGGCGUUAACCCAGCUCAACUGGGGCGCAAUCGCAGUGGUUCUCCCAGUGCUACCUUAGCCGAUAAAACGGAACGUAAGGUACCAAAACAUGGGAGCCAGGCAAACCCAACUAUUGACCCAAGAACAUGAUUCGGAGCCGAUGCAUAUAAUGCUAUAAGUUCGGGGUGCCGCACUUGUGAAAGUGUUCGGACUUAUCACACCAUAAUUGCGGGAAACAUAAGCCCCUGGUGUAUUUAGCCGUACCAAAACGUACGGAUGCAACAUGUCAUGGAUGAACAUAUGUGUAAGAAAGAAAUGCAAUUAGAAGCAAAAAUGUGCUGCAUUGCUUUAUUCAAAUAAAAACUACUGUAAGUGCAGGACGAUACAAGUGGUGCAGUAAGCAAGGGAUGGGAUUGUUUAACAUGUCCCCCUCCAGGAGUAGGCUACGGAAUAAUGCAUAAAACAGAUUUAAUGCUCAUAAUGGAGACCACCUGGAUUUUCGUUGUAGCCUUUCUCCUUCCCUGGCUGUUGUAUCGUGGGUUCGGCAUGUCUGCUGCCGGACAGGGUCUCUGACGAACGGAGUCCUGUGGGUAAAAAAUAAAAGGAAAAGAAAUGACACACUUAAGAGCCCCUGGUGCGGUUGAGCCGCAGUCUGGGCUUAUCGUGGUCGAGCCCCUUGCCCCAUGCCCAUGGAAUCUUCAGGGCGUAAUGGAGUACGCGAAGGGUCUGUCUGAAUGUUGUACAGGGGCUGGGGUUGGGGCCGCACUGCUACGCGUGCUCGAAACGUGCCAGGUGGUCGUGCUGUAGGUUACACCAGGCACGCUUAGCUGUGUCCGGCCGCUUAGCAGCCGGACUCGAGAAUUGCCUUAAAAGGCUGCUUUGUACUUCUGCCGCGAGAGCCGCUGUAUGUUCCUCCGUUCGGAGGGAGCGUUCAGUGUUUCCGUUGACCGUGAUGACUCCUCUAGGGCCUGGCAUCUUGAGCUUUAGGUAUGCGUAGUGCGGCACCGCGUUGAACUUUGCGAACGCGGUACGUCCGAGCAAGGCAUGAUAGCCGCUGCGGAACGGGACUAUGUCGAAGAUUAACUCCUCGCUUCGGAAGUUAUCCGGGGAUCCGAAGACCACUUCCAGUGUAACUGAGCUUGUACAAUUGGCUUCUACACAUGGUAUGACGCCUUUAAAGGUCAUCGUGGUAGGUUUAAUCCUUGAGGGGUCUAUGCCCAUUUUGCGCACCGUGUCCUGAUAAAGCAGGUUUAGGCUGCUACCGCCGUCCAUCAGGACUCUGGUGAGAUGAAAUCCAUCGACGAUUGGGUCUAGAACCAAUGCGACGAACCCACCAUGGCGAAUGCUGGUGGGGUGGUCCCUUCGGUCAAAGGUGAUCGGGCAAGAGGACCAUGGAUUGAACUUCGGGGCAACUGGCUCCAUCGCGUAUACAUCCCUGAGUGCACGCUUCCGCUUCCUUUUGGGUAUGUGCGUGGCAUAUAUCAUGUUCACCGUCCGCACCUGUGGGGGGAAACCCUUCUGUCCUCUAUUAUUCAGCGGUCGGGUCUCUUCCUCGUCAUCGCUAUGUAGCCCCUUGUCGCUGUUUUCGGCAAUUAACUUGCCUGCCUGCUAGAACACCCAACAGUCCCUAUUGGUGUGGUUAGCUGGCUUUUCAGGGGUGCCAUGUAUCUGGCACAAGCGGUCGAGAAUUCGGUCCAAAUUGGACGGACCCUGAGUUGUUCUUUUGAAUGGCUUUUUCCGUUGACCGGGUUUAGAGCCUCUGAAUCCGGCAUUGACUGCCGUAUCCUCACUAUUAUUGCCGUUAAUGCAGCGUUUGUUUUUGUAGCGACGCGACCUGCCACUACGGUCCUUGAUAUCCAGACUGCCAGAAUUUUUGUUGAGGUUGUUGCUGCGUGCUAGCCAGCUGUCCUCACCCGCACAGAAGCGGGUCAUGAGUGAUGUAAGGGCUGCCAUGGAUUUCGGCUUUUCCUGUCCCAGGUGCCGGGCAAGCCACUCGUCGCGGAUGUUGUGCUUGAAGGCCGCGAGGGCCUCGGCAUUCAGACAGUCGACGAUUUGGUUUUUCUUGGUUAAGAACCGUGUCCAGAAUUGUCUGGCCGAUUCAUCUGGCUGCUGAAUUAUGUGGCUUAGGUCAUCUGCAUCUGGUGGUCGCACGUACGUGCCUUGGAAGUUAUCGAGGAAUGCGGCUUCUAGGUCCUCCCAACUCCCGAUUGACUCUGCUGGCAAGCUAUUAAGCCAGUGCCGGGCUGGUCCUUUAAGUUUGAGUGGGAGAUAUUUGAUGGCGUGGAGAUCGUCUCCGCGAGCCAUGUGGAUGUGGAGGAGAUAAUCCUUGAUCCAGACCGCGGGGUCUGUUGUGCCAUCGUAGGAUUCAAUAUUGACGGGUUUAAACCCUUCUGGGAUUUGAUGAUCCAUUACCUCAUCUGUGAAGCACAGUGGGUGUGCGGCGCCUCUGUACUGGGCAAUAUCGCGACGGAGCUCAAAAGAGCUUUGUCUGUUGUGUUCGGCCCGGCCGGACUUACUGUGUCCGGGGUGACGGUGAUCGUCACGUACCGUGGGGCGCCCACGUGAUCCAUAGAUCGAUCUUGAUUGUCUUGCCUUAUCCUCCAAUAUGUCGCGCAGGUCCGGAGUGUUCCCCUGUGGCCUUGUGCUUUUCGAGCGAUGCCGGGGUACGGGUCUAGUGAAGGGCCUUGAGGCCUCUCUGUCGCGACCACGGGGUGGUUGAUCAGCCGUAUUGUCUCCUGGUGAAGCGGGAUCAUAUGCCUCCACCUCUAAUUGGGGGAGUAGCUUACGUUUGGGGUAGCUUUUGGAGGGGCGUUCGAGUUCAUGCUCUUCGGCCGCGAGGACUUCGGUCCAUCUGUCGGCUAGCAGAUCUUGAUCAGCUCUAAGCUGCUGCUGCUUUUUCUUGAGGCUGUUUGCCGUGGCCAUAAGCCUGCGUUUGAAACGCUCCUGUUCGACGGGAUCCUUAGGUACGACGAAUUCGUCGUCGUCGAGGCUUGCCUCGUCUCCGGAGGGAGGCAUAUAGUCCUCUACCUCUUCUUCGACCGCUCUCUCAUGAGGGCUGGCGUCCCCCUCCUCCUGUGCUGGAUCUUGCUGGAGUGGGUUGUCUUCGGCGCUAUCCGGUGUAUUAUUGUCUUCGGUGCCGGAAUCCUCAUUCUUGCCAUGGCGGGAUUUAGAGCGGCGCCGCUGACGCCGGCGCUUGGGCUGUUUUUUGGAGGGGUCAUCCUCCGCUAUUCCUUCGCCAUUCCCAUCCUUUGGGAUAUCCACCAUGUAUAUGUCGUAUGAAGAGGUGGUUUUCCAGUGCCCGGUGGGCGCUGGUUCUUGGUCGUUUCCGGCAUCGUCGUCCAUACCGUCGACGUCCUCAGAGUCGUAAUCUAGCAUGUUAGUUAGAUUGUCGACAGUGGCUACCAAGUGGGCGGUGGGUGGGCUCUGGAUUUCUUCGUCGUCCGCAUCCCAACCGUCCUGGCCGUAGUCUGGCCAGGCCUCUCCUGAUAACAAGAGGUACUUUAGCGAACUCAAGAUGUCGCCAAAAGGUGAGUGUUGAAAGAUGUCCGCCGCGGUGAACUCCAUGAUCGGCGCCCAAUCGGAUUCGACUGGAGGGGGCGCGGGAGGUCCGGAGUCCGGCAAGGAGUCCGACACCUCGGAGUCACGAACUUCAUGGGGGACAAGAUCGAUGUUCGGCUCUAUCGCCGUAGAGGUUGCAGCCCCUGAGGUGGUGUCUAGCCAUCCAUCCUUGGUCUGCGCAGCCGGCUCCGAGUCGAAGAUCGGAGCGGGUUCGAGUGCGGCCUCCAGGGUACUGUCCGGCUGCAGAGCUAAAUCACUCCCAUCGUGACAAUACAUCACGCUCGGCUGUGGCUCGAAUCCGUCGAGGAUCAAGUCCCCGCGGAUGUCAGCCGUGAAGUUCAAACUUCCAAAUCUGACCUGAUGGCCAGGGGCGUAGCCUUCGAUCUGCUCCAGCUGGCCAAGCGAAUUGGCCCGCAGUGCGAAGCCGCCGAAUACGAAGAUCUGUCCGGGGAGGAAGGUCUCACCCUGGACUGCAUCGUUGUUGAUGAUCUAAGAAGCCAUCGAGCCUAUCGGUGACGACACGGAGGAACUCUUAAUGAAAGCACCAAUGUCGGUGUCAAAACCAGUGGAUCUCGGGUAGGGGGUCCCGAACUGUGCAUCUAGGCGGAUGGUAACAGGAGACGAGGGACACGAUGUUUUUACCCAGGUUCAUGCCCUCUUGAUGGAGGUAAAACCCUACGUCCUGCUUGAUUAAUAUUGAUGAUGUGGGUUACAAGAGUAGAUCUACCACGAGAUCAAGGAGGCUAAACCCUAGAAGCUAGCCUAUGGUAUGAUUGUUGUUCGUCCUAUGGACUAAAGCCAUCCAGUUUAUAUAGACACCGGAGAGGGCUAGGGUUACACAGAGUCGGUUACAAUGAUAGGAGAUCUACAUAUCCGUAUCGCCAAGCUUGCCUUCCACGCCAAGGAAAGUCCCAUCCGGACACGGGACGAAGUCUUCAAUCUUGUAUCUUCAUAGUCUUGGAGUCCGGCCGAUGAUGAUAGUUCGGCUAACCGGACACCCCCUAGUCCGGAACUCCCUCACCCGAGACUCAGUGCUUUUAUUGCAAGGGAAAUGGUCAUUGGAAGCGGAACUACCCCAAGUACUUAGCGGACAAGAAGGCCGGCAACACCGAAGGUAUAUGUGAUAUACAUGUUAUUGAUGUGUACCUUACGAGUACUCGUAGUAGCUCCUGGGUAUUUGAUACCGGUGUGGUUGCUCAUAUAUGUAACUCAAAAUAGGAACUGCGGAAUAAGUGGAUACUGGCGAAGGACGAGGUGACGAUGCGCGUCAGGAAUGGUUCCAAGGUCGAUGUGAUCGCCGUCGGCACGCUGCCUCUACAUUUACCUACGGGAUUAGUUUUAAGCCUCAAUAAUUGUUAUUUAGUGCCAGCUUUGAGCAUGAACAUUGUGUCUGGAUCUCGUUUAAUGCGAGAUGGCUACUCAUUUAAAUCCGAGAAUAAUUGUUGUUCCAUUUAUAUGAGAGAUAUGUUUUAUGGUCAUGCCUCGCUGGUCAAUGGUUUAUUCUUAUUGAAUCUCGAACAUGAUGUUACACAUAUUCAUAGUGUGAGUACCAAAAGAUGUAAGGUUAAUAAUGAUAGUCCUACAUACUUGUGGCACUGCCGCCUUGGUCACAUUGGUGUCAAACGCAUGAAGAAGCUCCAUGCAGAUGGACUUUUGGAGUCUCUUGAUUAUGAAUCAUUUGACACGUGCGAACCAUGCCUCAUGGGCAAGAUGACCAAGACUCCGUUCUUCGGAACAAUGGAGCGAGCAACCAACUUGUUGGAAAUUAUACAUACUGAUGCGUGCAGUCUAAUGAGGGUUGAGGCUCGCAGUGGCUAUCGAUAUGUUCUCACACUCACUGAUGACUUAAGUAGAUAUGGGUAUGUCUACUUAAUGAAACACAAGUCUGAGACCUUUGAAAAGUUCAAGGAAUUUCAGAGUGAGGUGGAGAAUCAACGUGACAGGAAAAUAAAGUUCUUACGAUCAGAUCGUGGGGGAGAAUAUUUGAGUCACGAAUUUGGUAUGCACUUAAGGAAAUGUGGAAUUAUUUCACAACUCACGCCGCCUGGAACACCUCAGCAUAAUGGUGUGCCCAAAUGUUGUAAUCACACUCUAUUGGAUAUGGUGCGAUCUAUGAUGUCUCUUACCAAUUUGCCGCUAUCAUUUUGGGGAUAUGAUUUAGAGACAACCACAUUCACUUUAAAUAAGGCACCGUCUAGAUCCGGUGAGACGACACCUAUGAAUUAUGGUUUGGGAAGAAACCUAAGCUGCCGUUUCUAAAAGUUUUGGGAUGCGAUGCUUAUGUCAAGAAACUUCAACCUGAAAAGCUCGAACCCAAGUCGGAAAAAUGCGUCUUCAUAGGAUACCCUAAGGAAACCAUUUGGUAUACCUUCUACCUCAGAUCCGAAGGCAAGAUCUUUGUUGCCAAGAAUGGGUCCUUUCUAGAGAAAGAGUUUCUCUCGAAAGAAGUAAGUGGGAGUAAAGUAGAACUUGAUGAAGUGCUACCUCUUGAACCGGAAAGUAGCGCAGCUCAGGAAAAUGUUUCUGAGGUGCGUGUAAUGACUAGAGAGGAAGUUAAUGAUGAUGAUCAAGGCACUUCGGGUCAAGUUGCUACUGAACUUCGUAAGUACACAAGGACACGUUCCACACCAGAAUGGUAUGGCAACCCUGUCCUGGAAAUCAUGUUGUUAGACAACGGUGAACCUUCGAACUAUGAAGAAGCGAUGGCGGUCCCAGAUUCUAACAAAUGGCUUGAAGCCAUGCAAUCCGAGAUAGGAUCCAUGUAUGAAAACAAAGUAUGGACUUUGACAGACUUGCCCGAUGAUCGGCGAGCUAUAGAAAAUAAACGGAUCUUUAAGAAGAAGACUGACGCGGAUGGUAACGUGACCAUCUAUAAAGCUCGGCCUGUCGCUAAGGGUUAUUGACAAGUUCAAGGGGUUACUGCGAUGAGACCUUCUCACCCGUAGCGAAGCUGAAGUCUGUCCGAAUCAUGUUAGCAAUUGUCGCAUUCUAUGAUUAUGAAAUAUGGCAAAUGGACAUCAAAACGACAUUCCUUAAUGGCUUCCUUAAGGAAGAAUUGUAUAUGAUGCAGCCGAAAGGUUUUGUCGAUCCUAAGAAUGCUAACAAGGUAUGCAAGCUCCAGCACUCCAUCUAUGGGCUGGUGCAAGCAUCUCAGAGUUGGAACAUUCGCUUUGAUGAAAUGAUCAAAGGGUUUGGCUUUAUGCAGACUUAUGGAGAAGCCUGCGUUCACAAGAAAGUGAGUGGGAGCUCUGUAGCAUUUCUCAUAUUAUAUGUGGAUGACAUACUAUUGAUGGGAAAUGAUAUAGAACUUUUGGAAAGCAUAAAGGCCUACUUGAGUAAGUGUUUUUCAAUGAAGGACCUUGGAGAAGAUGCUUACAUAUUAGGCAUCAAGAUCUAUAAAUAUUGACCGUGAUGCCUCAUAGGUAUUUCACAAAGCACAUACCUUGAUAAGAUAUUGAAGAAGUUCAAUAUGGAUCAGUCCAAGAAGGGGUUCUUGCCUGUAUUGCAAGGUAUGAAAUUGAGUUCGGCUCAAAGCCCGACCACGACAGAAGAUAGUGAAAAGAUGAGUGUCAUCCCCUAUGCCUCAGCCAUAGGGUUUAUUAUGUAUGCCAUGCUGUGUACCAGACCUGAUGUAAACCUUGCCAUAAGUUUGGUAGGGAGGUACCAAAGUAAUCCCGGCAUGGAACACUGGUAACAGUCAAGAAUAUCCUGAAGUACCUGAAAAGGACUAAGGAUAUGUUUCUCGUUUAUGGAGGUGAUGAAGAGCUCAUCAUAAAGGGUUAUGUCGAUGCCACCUUCGACACAGAUCUGGAUGACUCCAAGUCACAAACCGGAUACAUGUAUAUUUUGAAUGGUGGGGCAGUCAGCUGGUGCAGUUGCAAGCAAAGCAUCGUGGCGGGAUCUACAUGUGAAGCAGAGUACAUGGUAGCCUCGGAGGCAACACAUGAAGCAAUCUGGAUGAAGGAGUUCAUUACCGACCAAGGAGUUAUUCCCAAUGCGUCGGGCCCGAUGACUCUCUUCUGUGACAACACUGGAGCUAUUGCCCUUGCCAAGGAGCCUAGGUUUCGCAAGAAGACCAGGCAUAUCAAUCGUCGCUUCAACUCCAUUCGUGAAAAUGUUCAAGAUGGAGACAUAGAUAUUUGUAAAGUGCAUACGGAUCUGAAUGUCGCAGAUCCGUUGACUAAACCUCUUCCACGAGCAAAACAUGAUCAACACCAAAACUCUAUGGGUGUUCGAUUCAUCACAAUGUAACUAGAUUAUUGACUCUAGUGCAAGUGGGAGACUGUUGGAAAUAUGCCCUAGAGGCAAUAAUAAAAUGGUUAUUAUUAUAUUUCCUUGUUCAUGAUAAUUGUCUAUUGUUCAUGCUAUAAUUGUAUUGUUCGAAAACCGUAAUACAUGUGUGAAUACAUAGACCACAACAUGUCCCUAGUGAGCCUCUAGUUAACUAGCUCAUUGAUCAACAGAUGGUUAUGGUUUCCUGACCAUGGGCAUUGGAUGUCAUUGAUAACGGGAUCACAUCAUUGGGAGAAUGAUGUGAUGGACAAGACCCAAUCCUAAGCAUAGCACAAGAUCGUGUAGUUCGUCUGCUAAAGCUUUUCUAAUGUCAAGUAUCUUUUCCUUAGACCAUGAGAUUGUGCAACUCCCGGAUACCGUAGGAAUGCUUUGGGUGUACCAAACGUCACAACGUAACUGGGUGGCUAUAAAGGUACACUACAGGUAUCUCCGAAAGUGUCUGUUGGGUUGGCACGAAUUGAGACUGGGAUUUGUCACUCCGUAUGACGGAGAGGUAUCUCUGGGUCCACUCGGUAAUGCAUCAUCAUAAGGAGCUCAAUGUGACUAAGUGGUUAGUCACGGGAUCAUGCAUUAUGUAACGAGUAAAGUGACUUGCCAGUAAUGAGAUUGAACGAGGUAUUGGGAUACCGACUAUCGAAUCUCGGGCAAGUAACAUACCGAUUGACGAAGGGAAUUGUAUACGGGAUUGCUUGAAUCCCUGACAUCGUGGUUCAUCCGAUAAGAUCAUUGUGGAACAUGUGGGAGCCAACAUGGGUAUCCAUAUCCCGCUGUUGGUUAUUGGCCGGAGAGCUGUCUCGGUCAUGUCUACAUGGUUCCCGAACCCGUAGGGUCUACAUACUUAAGGUUCGGUGACGCUAGAGUUGUUAUGGGAAAUAGUAUGUGGUUACCGUAUGUUGUUCGGAGUCCCGGAUGACAUCCCAGACCUCACGAGGAGUUCCGGAAUGGUCCGGAGGUGAAGAUUUAUAUAUGGGAAGUCAUCAUACGGUCACCGGAAGUAUUUGGGGGUUUGCCGGUAUUGUACCGGGACCACUGAAGGGGUUUCGGGGGUCCACCGGGAGGGUCCACCUACCCCGGAGGGCCUUAUGGGCUGUAUGUGGAAGGGAACCAGCCCCUAAGUGGGCUGGGGGCCAUCCCCCUAGGGGCCAUGCGCCUAGGGUUUGGGGGAAACCCUAAAGGGGGCGCCCCUUGGCUUGGGGGGCAAGCCCCCUCCCCUUGGUCGUCCCCCUUAUAGAUAUCAUCUAGAGGGGUCGGCCCCCUUCCCCCUUCACCCUAUAAAUAGAGGGAAGGAGGGAGGGCAGCAUCACCUCAUCCAAGGCACAACCCUCCCCCUCUCCAACACCCCCUCCUCCUCCGUUGAGCUUGGCGAAGCCCUGCCGGAGAACUGCUGCUCCACCACCACCACACCAUCGUGCUGCUGCUGAAGUUGUCUUCCCCAACCUCUCCCUCCUCCUUGCUGGAUCAAGGCGUGAGAGACGUCACCGGGCUGCACGUGUGUUGAAAGUAGAGGCGCCGUUGUUUGGUGCUUAGAUCGGAAUCGACCACGAUCUGAAUCGCUGCAUGUAUGACUCCUCCAACCGCGUUCUUGUAACGCUUCCGCAUCGUGAUCUUCAAGGGUAUGAAGAUACACUACUCUCUCUCUCUCUCUCGUUGCUAGUCUCUCCAUAGAUUGAUCUUGGUGAUGCAUAGAUUUUUUUUAAUUUCUGCAACGAUCCCCAACACAGUCGCAGGUGGAGGCUGGAGGAGGUCGGCGGUGGAUGAAUAGUAGCCCGUGGGGGCUGGAGGAGGUCGACGAUGGAGAUGAACAAUAUCCCAUGGAGUCCUGCUUUGCGGUACGCCACACCCCUCCCAAUGAACAGGACCCCCAUUUCAGCCGUAGCACUCCAACACAAGUCCGUUUCCUCCAUUUUGUGGUACGCCACACCCCUCCCGAUCAAUAGGACCCCGUUUCGAUUGUAGGAGGUCCAACAUAAGUCUGUUUCCUCCGUUUUGCGGUACGCCAGACCCCUCCCGAUGAACAGGAUCUCGUUUCGACCGUGGUCGGUCGAACACAAGGCCGUUUCCUCCAUUCUGCGGUACGCCAGGCCUCAUUUCCAUCGGCUGUUCCGUCCAAGCCUUCCCGAUGAACACGACGACGCAUUUCAUUCCGACCCAGCCGGUUGGCUCCCCAUGAACACGAUGAUGACACAGUUUCUCCGUUCUGACCCAGCAAUGUACAUGAGCCCUGGCCGUAUGUAUGCGCGAGUAGGCGUUCGAGACCCCGCCCGUAUGUACGUAUGUGGCCAUAUUUACUUUCUUGCACCCUGGCCGUUGUACGUACGUGUACAUGCUAUGUGCGCGCCUCUACUACGACACGUGCACGCCUCUACUACGACACAUGCACACCUCUACAUCGACCAGUAUGUACGUACACGUUCGCGACCAGAAUGACAACGCUACGUACACUUCGACCAGGUGGGUCCCGACUGUCAGGCACUUCCUUGCAUGCGAAGAUGUAGCUGGUGGGUCCCAACAGUCAGGGGGCGAAUCAUUUUUUUACCCGUAAUAUGGACGCACUUCCUUGCGUGCGAAGAGGUAGAUGGUGGGUCCCAACAGUCAGGGGGAGAAAACAUUAUUUUUCAGGGUAAAAAGGAUGCAGUUGCAUUCAUGCGUCCAUGGGCGUGGUGCGUCCCCAAUGUCAGCCUCUCACGUACAGUCAUCUUUCGAUGACUCUUGUUUGUUGACCACAUUGACCACACCGUGCCGAGCGCACCAAGGCCAGUGGACGACGGUGAGGCCCCAGAUUAGAACGACCUGGAGAUGGGGAAGACACAGCAAUGGAGUUGCAGAUGGAGAGGAGUGGGAAACUUGACUGGUUCGGGUGCUGCCGCGGGAGACAGGAGCAAGAAUAGAGGUUGAAGAAGGAGCACGGCUGUUGGAUUAACAUCCAACGGUCCAGCUGCUAGAAUAAUUUGUUGAUUAAGUUGACAAAGCCCUGCGUACACGUGUGCUUAGUAGGCUACAAGUCAGCCACUAAAUCUGCCAGGUCCCAACUGUCAUCGUGAGGAAUAUUUUUUUUCGCAUAACAAGGAGGCACUUCCUUCCGUGCGAAGAUACAGCCGGUGGGUCUUAGCUGUCAGGGGGAGGAUACAAAUUAAUAAGGAGGAACUUUCCUUGCAUACGAGCAUGGACCUCGUGGGACCCAACCAUCAGGCUCUGACGUACAGUCCUCUUCUGACGACUCUCGUUUGUUGACCACAUCACGCCGAGCACAGCGAGGCGGUGGAGGACGGCGAGGCCCCAGACUGGAAUGACUUGGAGAUGGGGAAGAUGCAGCAGUGGAGUAGCAGACGGAGAGGAGUGGGAAACUUGACUGGUUCGGGUGCAGGGUGGGCCUACACUCGGUAGAGAAUAACAGGAGGUGUAGAGUGGAGGGAUGGCCUGGCCGUCGGCCGGGUACUGUUUCGCUGUGAGGCGCGCAGCGAAAUGGGCUAGUUUGGGUUAUAGCCUCAAAUUAUCGAAACAGGAGGGGUUAGUUUGAGCUAGUUUGCUCUAACCCAGCUAAAAAAUAGCCCAGUGGAGAGGUUCUAAUUGGGUUAGUUAUCCUCGGGCCCACUAAAAGAGAACUAAAAAAAUCUCCCCUUCCCGCACCUAAUCGCUCCCUCCGCCCCCCUUCGCAUGACUCCUCUCUGUUCCCCAUCGGGCCGCCCACCCAAGCGCCACUCUGCCGCUCUCCCUCUUUCUCCCCCGACCUCCCUUACCCUUCGACCUCCACCACCCUCCUCCGACCGCCCUCCCCCUCCGGCCUUCGAAGGUCGCCCCACUCCCGCUUCACUGGUUGUUUUUCUCCCUCCGUCGUGCGCGGCGACGGCGCAUCUACCAGGGAGUCGCGAGAGGGGUGAGUUUGUUCGUUCCUUCUCUGUCUCACAGCCAUAUCAUUAAUCUUGCUUGCUCUAGCGCUAAUUCUGAUUUGGAAAAGUAGAUCCUGAUCGAACUUAGUAUAGAUUUGUGGUGCACAUAUGGAAUUGUUUGAUGCUGCUUGAGGAGGUAAUAAAUCUUUCUAGAGGCCCAAAGAUUCAGUUCACCUUUCUAGGUAUUUCAGUUUCAGGCUUGCAUUAUUUCCAGAGGCCCAAAGAUUCAGUUCACCUUUCUAGGUAUUUCAGUUUCAGGCUUGUAUUAUUUCUAGAGGCCCAAAGAUUCAGUUCAUGUUUCUAGGUAUUUCAGUUUCAGGCUUGCAUUAUUUCUAGGGGCCCAAAGACUUAGUUCACCUUUCUAGGAAUUUCAGUUUCAGGCUUGCANNNNNNNNNNNNNNNNNNNNNNNNNNNNNNNNNNNNNNNNNNNNNNNNNNNNNNNNNNNNNNNNNNNNNNNNNNNNNNNNNNNNNNNNNNNNNNNNNNNNNNNNNNNNNNNNNNNNNNNNNNNNNNNNNNNNNNNNNNNNNNNNNNNNNNNNNNNNNNNNNNNNNNNNNNNNNNNNNNNNNNNNNNNNNNNNNNNNNNNNNNNNNNNNNNNNUUUCAGUUCCAGGCUUGCAUUAUUUCUAGAGGCCCAAAUAUUCAGUUCACCUAUCUAGGUAUUUCAGUUUCAGACUUGCAUUAUUUCUAGAGGCCCAGAGAUUUAGUUCAGAUUUCUAGGUAUUUUAGUUUUAGGCUUGCAUUAUUUCUAGAGGCCCAAAGAUUAAGUUCGCAGUCGUUGGCAAGCGGCCCUGCUACCCAUGUCGGUGUAGGUCCUUCCUCUAGAGCGACGAUGACGAGAUCCUCCCUCGGUGCGUGAGGGGCUCCAGGCUCCCUCCCUAUAGUGAAUGACUUCCGUGAUGAGUUAGCUCAUGCUUUGUUUCAUGGAGUGUAUUUUUUUGUGAAGCUUGAUUGACGACUUGUAUGUUUAAGUGGGAUAUCUCAUUUGUAUGGACAAAGUAAAUUUAUCAUGUUUUGCAUGUUUGAUUUGUAAAGAUGGUUCGUUUAUGCCAAUUGUGAGCGGGAGGAGGCCACACAAGAGCUGGCCACACCAAAUCCGGCAGGAAAUAGGGUCCAAAGUAGUCAAAUGAUUGAGAAAGAGCAUUUAUUGUCAAUCUAACCCUGCCAUCCAUACACCUCUUUGGUUUAGUUAGUUCAGGGUUAGAAUCUAACUCUAACCUCUAACUGAGUUAGAGUUCUCCUUGUAUCAGUUCAUCACCAUCAUACUUUCCCCAUUCCUGUGUUUUCAGUAUCCUGCGAAUCAAAGAGGCCCUUUUUUUUGCGGAAAAAAAUCAAAGAGGCCCUUAGACUGGUUUAGGUCUGGUCAUUUUUUAUAAACGUGUUAUGUCCAAAAUUUAAUGAACGUGCUCUAGUUUCUACGAAAAUAAUCCGGUUUCAUGCAGUAAUUCAUUCAUUUAUUUAUUCUUCUGCGAGGGGUUUACAUGUAAUUCGUGAGGUCUGCAUUGUAAAGUAUCCUAGCAUAUGCUCCGAGUCGUGCAUGCACUACGACCCAGAUGCUCUAUGUCCCACAUGUCGCCGAAAGGGAGCACGUGGAAAUAGCCUAGGAGUACAUAUAGGAGGAUAAAUGCGUGAAAAAAAUAUGUACUGUGAAGCAUAGCUUUGGUUUGAAACGGAGACCUAAAGUGACUACAAGUAUAGGUCGCACGCGCCCAACUAGUGGUACUAGACAUACGACUAUUUUUUACCUCAAAAAAAGAGGUACAAGUGCUCAGUACUCCUAUUCUAUCAACACGAGUCCCAUCUGACAACAGCGUCCGUGCUACAGCUAGCUCUUCUCCCUCAUUUCUCUCUUCUAAUCCUAAACUCGGGGUGGGGAUUUGCCGAUGGUCGGUUUGCUCAACUGCGGCCCCACCUCACAGUGAAAAUGUUACGACCGGAAUAAAAAUGCCAUAUACUCCCUCCGUUCCUAAAUAUAAGCCUUUUUAGAUAGUAUUUCAAAUGGUAUACAACAUACAGAUGUAUGUAGACAUAUUUUAGAGUAUAAAUUCACUCAUUUUGCUCCGUAUGUAGUCACUUGAUGGAAUCUCUAGAAAGACUUAUAUUUGGGAACGGAGGGAGUAGUAUACUAAUAAAACAUGAAGGCCACAAGGCUAUGCCGUGCUGGUUACAGGAGGCAAGAAUAAGAGAUGCAUCCAUCAAUGACGUCCACCUCCUCAACUUAGGGCGCCGGCCCACCGAACAGCGGCUAAGUAGCAGCGGAUUUCGUGGCCAGGUCGACGUGCUUCGGAACAAUGGCGUCCAAAGAUUCCAGCCACUGGAAGAAGGCCAACGUCUUUCUGUCCUCGGUUGCCUUGUAGUGGCCUAUGUAGACGAUUUCCUCGUAGACGUGGAUGUGCAGGUCGACAGUUUCUUGCAUGGCGAGGCGCUGCGCAGUGAGCGCGGCCUCGAGGUGCACAUUCUUUGUCGUGACCUCCGGAACCUGCAGGGCCACCAGGGCUUGAAAGAGUUCAUCACCAUGGAGGCCGAUGAGGGUGGCAAGCAAUGAGGAGCCUGGGCGCGUGGGCUGGAGUAGUACGACAAGGCAUCCAUGCGCUUCUUGACGGUGGUGAACUUGCCUAUGGAGUUGACCAUCAUGUCGUCCAUGCGAGAGGCGAAGCCGGCAUCGGCGAGGGCUACGACACUGGCAGUCGCCAGCACCGUCUGGAAAUGCUGUGCGGUGUGGGGCCGCAGACCGGCGCCUUGGAUGAUUUGGCACAACCGACUGCCACUCGUGUCCAUCACCUCCAUAGGUGCUUGUGGCUUCUAGUCACUUGGUCUUGGAUUGGAGUGAGCAGUGUUGCGUAGGGACUAGGAGUAGAUGGAUUGGAGUGGUGGGGCGCCUUUAUAUGAGAGUCCAAACUCUGUUGCAUUCACAUCGUGCUGGCUCUAUUCUGCUUCUCCAAUUAAUUCCCUCUGCAUGUAAUUGAGGAUGCAUCACUGACCGUUCAACGUCUCGGGAACCGCUACCCUCUCCCUCCUUGGCAUUCAAGCACCUAUGGAGGCGAGUGCCGCUCGCAUCUAUCGCGUGUCAGGAGAUGUUCCCAUCGACAACGAGGUGCCUAUGGUGACUUCGUAAAUUUCAAGAUGAUAGUGCCGGCUCAGUCUUUUGGAGGUGCUCAUAGGGGUAGGGUGUGCGUGUGUGCGUUCAUAGGGGUGAGUGUAUGCGCAUGUAUAUGAGCGCUUGCAUCUGUACUGUGUUAAAAAAUGUAAAUACGUGUCAAAAAGAGACUACUCAGUAUACUCAAUAUUGUGCACCGCGACCAAGGCGGAGAGGAAAAUGAGAGAACUACGUAUUUAUUUAUGGUGCAGAUUCACUCAUUUGGCUCCAUAUGUACUCCAUCUCGGUGUAGUCUAGUCACUUGUUGAAAUAUCUAGAAAGGCAAAUACUCCUUUUUGGUUUACAGGGCUAUACUAGCAAGUACUACAAUAGUGGGCUCACAUAGCAAUUUUGCCUCAUGCAAGAGCCUAGCUAUAUGCGUGCUCCAAGGUUCGCAACUGCCACGUUUGGGUUGCGCUUGGCUCUUCGCCUCUUUGAGAAGACGAACAAUGAUGUUACUACUACUGCUUCUAUAGUAUCGAAUCCACUUCUGCAUGACCGUCCACCACGAGCAGGAGGGAUAGCUUGUUGUAGUACUACAAGCAAAAGUCUGUCCUCGUCUGCGAGCCACCACACGCAUGGGCGGGGGAGAAGGCGUGUAGUAGUAAAAUCAAGCUUCUCCUCGUUGUACGAGUUGACGCGACACAUCAUAGCACUAGAUCCACAUGCUUGCCUCUAAACUUGGCUGAAAGACACGCAGUGUACAAUAUAUUUGCUGCAACCUCUAACAUUUACCCACCACAAAUUAAAAUAUUGAUUCCCGUCUUGACCAAAUGAGCGUGCAAACUACAAUCACCAGGAUGACAGGUAGGGCCAGAAGAUUAUUUUAAUCAAAAAAGCUUCGAGACCGCCACAUAACAUGGAGCCAACCCCAACGAUUUUAAGCUUACAGGUACGGUACAUGCUAUCCUAGACUACUCUACACAUGAAACUUCCACACGAGCAUCCGGGCUGCUGUAACGCCCCGAGACCGACACUCCAGAAGACUUCCAGCUACUCCGAGUUUCGUCUGUGAUUUGUUUUGUUUGUUGCAUCAUGCCAUCAUGUCAUUUAAUUUUAUAACUCAUCUAAAUAAAUUGCAUGGAUCUUCGGUCCAUUUAAAAUGAGGGAAUUCACAUGGUGAUUUAUCUUUAUAACAUAUCGUCCUAUUAUUUAAGGAGCUAUAAUAAAUAUUCCAUUAGUUUGGAAUUAACCGUAACACACAUACAAUUUAAGUUCCAUGCAUUUUCUAUCUCAAUUCCUUGCCUCAAACUUUGCCAACAAUUCAUAUCUCUUUUUAUCGAGCCUCCUCCUAAAUUUUCAACCUUUUUGGACACCUCUAAAUCCUAGUCCUUGUUCAAACCAUUUGAAUUAAAUUCAAAUGACUUUGAAUUUAAUUCUUGCAAUCUUGCCCACACCAUUUUUCUUGGAACAAGCGCAUUUUUGCGAGUCCGGGAAAAUUACCCCCAUGCCCAAAUUCUUGUCCACUCAUUUCUUUUCUCUCCCUUUCUUUCUUUGCUUUUCUGUUUUUGGAAGAGAUUUGAAGAAGGGAGAGAAGAAGCCCUUCAACCACAUGCCACUAGGCCAGGCCGGCCCACCAGUCCCCGUGAGGCCCAACCCUUCCUAACCCUAGCCCAAUCGAUCCCCUUAACCCCACGCUCGCUAGCCCUCUCUCUCUCGAUCCCUCGCUCUCUCCCUCGUUCCCCUCCCUGCGCCGCCACACACACGCAUCUAGCCAGGGAGUGGCGCUCCCUGCGCCAGAUCCCCUCGCCGGCUUGCCGCCACUACCAUGAGUCCUCCUCCGUCGCGCCGUCCCAACCUCCCAGAGUCGUCGCCCUGUUCAACCUCGCCUGAGACCGCCGCUCCUCCCAUCCCCGCAACCGAGGACCUCGUCCCCAUGGUCCAGGCUGCCGCAUCGAGCUCUUCCCGACGCCUCCCAUGGAUACCGUGCCUUGCUGCCGCUGCUCUUCCGGCGCUCGUUCCCCAUCAUCUUCGUCGGCGCCUCCUCCUUGUCCAACUCCGGUGGCUCCACACCUGCAUCUCCACCGGCGCCAUCCAUCCCCGUCGCCCCGCCGCCUCACCUACAACAGCCGCGCCGCCCGUGUGGCUUCCCCUCCCGCAACACUGCGACGCCGCCUCGCCCUUGUCCCCCGUCGCCUCAUUGCCGCCUUCGUCCACUGUUGUCCGCCUCCUGCUCGUGCCCGAGGACCGAGCGCCUCCACCUUGGCCUGGCAGCCCCACCUUACUCGUGGUUUGCCGCUGCCUAGACCAUCUCCGGCCUGGGCUCCUUCGCCUCCUUGCUGCUGCCACUCGAGGCCCUGGUGUUGCUUCGUUUUGGAUCGUCAAAACUGACUACACAAAACUGCCAGUACCUCUACGCACGGAUACACCAAUACCGUCUUGGAUAACGUCAAGUACCACGACAACCAUGUCCUAUCAAGUUCGUCUACGGAAUGAGUACCACUACGCCCGAAUACCGUGGAUGCACCAAGUUCCACUACGAGAUGUACCACUACCGUCGCCAAGAUCGUGAGUACCUCUAUCGUCGCCGUGAAUGACUACUUCCACGACGUCCGUGAACCACUACUUCCACUACCGCCGCGAGAACGACUACUUCCACUACGGCCCAUGUACCACUACUUCCUUCGUUGAGCUCGACCCGCUCCGAAACGCAUGCUUCGGAGGUAUAAUCCCGAGAUGACCGCCCGUGGACGAAUGCAUGUGUUGUAUGAGAUGCUCAUGUUUGCACCGUGUUUGAAUUGUCGCUUGCGAUGCCCCUCUUUUGCCAUGCCACUGGCACGUGGGAACCCGGUAUCUGGGAUCACCCCACCUUCUUUUGCAUGUUCCUUACGUCCACACUUUCUUUUGCACCGACAUCUCGAUGAGUUGUCGAAUAAUCGAAAUGUUGCCGUGGCACCAUUUCCGUUGUCGUUGCCGUGGCACCCCUUUCAUUCCGCCAUGGUGACCAAAUGCUUCAUAACAUGCUGAUGUCAACACUUUCAUAAAAUUGCAUAAAACUUGUUUAUGUCAUCCACAUCAUGAUAACAACAUUUAAAAUGUUUAAAAUUGUUGUUGCGUUAAAUUGCUAAAUAACAUAUGGGGAUUUCCGGAAUUGUCGUUUGUUGUUUCCGGCCUCAUUUAAACUUGCCUAAAUAGUUAGUUUAAUUAUGUUUCACCUCUUGCCAUGUUUAUAACAACAUGUAAUAUUGUUGUGUUCCUAAACGAGAGCGAACUAAAUAACUCGAAUGUGGUGUCUUGUCAAUAUGCAACUCAUUGCAUAUUGAGCUCCACUUAACUUGUUGUAUAGUUUGUUGCACUUUGCCAUGACAUGCCUCAUUAAACCGGACAUGCAUCAUACUUGUUUGUGCAUCAUGACAUGUUUAUGCUUGUGUGUUUACCAUGUUGUUUGCUUCUUUCUGGUUUGCUUCUCUCGUUAGCUUCGGUUUUGUUCUGGAGUUGUGAGGAUUCGUUCGACUACGUGAGUUCGUCUUCUUCUUGGACUCGUUCUUCUUCCUUGCGGGAUCUCAGGCAAGAUGACCAUUACCCUCGAUAUCUCUUCUAUCUUUGCUUGCUAGUUGCUUCAUUUUAUCGCUAUGCUGCGCUACCUAUCACUUAUUUACCAUGCCUCCCAUAUUGCCAUGUCAGCCUCUAACCUUUUCACCCUUCCUAGAAAACUGUUGUUUGGCUAUGUUACCACUUUGCUCAGCCCCUCUUAUAGCAUUGUUAGUUGCAGGUGAAGUUGAAGAUUGCUCCAUGUUGGACAGGAUUAUGUUGGGAUAUCACAAUAUCUCUUAUUUAAUUAAUGCAUCUAUAUACUUGGUAAAGGGUGGAAGACUCGGCCUUGUGCCUGGUGUUUUGUUCCACUCUUGCCGCCCUAGUUUCUGUCAUACCAGUAUUAUGUUCCUUGAUUUUGCGUUCCUUACGCGGUUGGGUGAUUUAUGGGACCCCCUUGACAGUUCGCUUUGAAUAAAACUCCUCUAGCAAGGCCCAACAUUGGUUUUAACAUUUGCCACCUAAGCCUUUUUCCCUUGGGUUCUACAGACUCAAGGGUCAUCUUUAUUUACCCCUCGGGCUAGUGCUCCUCCGAGUGUUGGUCCAAACUAGAGCACCGGGCGGGACCAUUCCUUGGCAACUUGGGUCAGGUCGGUACCUGUACGCUUUGCUUAUCCGGUGUGCUCUGAGAACGAGAUAUGUGCAGCUCUUAUCGGGAUUUGUCAGCACAGCGGGUGGUCUUGCUGGUCUUGUUUUACCAUUUUCGAAAUGUCUUGUAAACCGAGAUUCUGAGACUGAUCGGGUCUUCCUGGGAGAAGGAAUAUCCUUCGUUGACCGUGAGAGCUGUGAUGGGCUAAGUUGGGACACCCCUGCAGGGUAUAAACUUUGGAGAGCCGUGCCCGCGGUUAUGUGGCAGAUGGGAAUUUGUUAAUAUCCGGUUGUAGAGAACUUGACACUUGACUUAAUUAAAAUGCAUCAACCGCGUGUGUAGCCGUGAUGGUCUCUUUUCGGCGGAGUCCGGGAAGUCAACAUGGUUUUGGGUUAUGUUUGACGUAAGUUGUUUCAGGAUCACUUCUAGUUUCUCGACCGUUCCGUUGUUUCUCUUCUCGCUCUUAUUUGCGUAUGUUAGCCACCAUAUUUGCUUAGUGCUUGUUGCAACUCCACCUCAUUACCACUUCCUACCCAUAAGCUUAAAUAGUCUGGAUCUCCCGGGUUUUGAGAUUGCUGAGUCCUCGUGACUCACCAGAUACUAUCACAACAGUUGCAGGUGCCGAUGAUACCAGUGCAGGUGAUGCAACCAAGCUCAAAUGGGAGCUCAACGAAGAUCUUAGUCGUUACUAUGUCUCAUUUCUUGAUGAUCAGUAGUGGAGCCUAGUUGGGAUGAUCGGGGAUCUAGCAGUUGGGUUAUCUUCUUUUCUUUUGGCUUCGUCCGUAGUCGGACUAUGUGUGUACUCUGAAUGAAGUAUGAAUUAUAUGUUCAAUUGUGUGAAGUGGCGAUUGUAAGCCAACUCUUUAUCCCAGUCUUGUUCAUUACAUGGGAUUGUGUGAAGAUGACCCUUCUUGCGACAAAACCACAAUGCGGUUAUACCUCUAAGUCGUGCUUCGACACAUGGGAGAUAUAGCCGCAUCGUGGGUGUUACAAGUUGGUAAUCAGAGCUAUCCCCGACUUAGGAGCCCCCUGCUUGAUCGAAUCGCUGAUGUUGUUGAGUCUAGAACAAAAAUGUUUUGAGUCUUAGGAUUAUAUAUAUCAGAGAGUAGGAUUCUUUUUACUCCUCAGCCCCUUCAUCGCUCUGGUGAGGCCUCCUGACGUAGAUGUUUUGUCUUUCCUCGCCUCAAAUAUCACUAAUUUUUUUAGGAUCAUGCGGGUAUCUUGGGAUCGUUCCGAUAUUCUUAUGACAAGAACAUUGUUCUUGGUGCCUCCUGACAUUUAGGGGUUGUGGCAGUGUCCCGAGGAGUUGAGCUCCGAGGUGUUGUCGUCAUAAUUUUAUCGUUGCAGUUCUGGAAUACCUGAGUUUUGCUGACAUCGAAAAUCUCUUUUAUGCAGAUGUUGGUGAGAUAACCUCGACGCCAUCCAGUACUAGGGAGUUCGGGAGUAUUGCCAUAGCUUGUAUAAUGGAUGCUUUUCGAAGGUUGAGGUACACGAUUUCCAAAGGUUUCUUGGUUAUGUGUUGACAGAUGGAUACAACUUGGAUGUAGGGAUUGUUAGUUUUGGGUGAGAUAUAUAUUGCUUCCCCUGUAUCCCCAACACCAGAUUGCAUAACCAGAAAGUUUCGGGAGUUUUAUAGGUGGGAAUUUAAGUAGCUCCUAGAAUAUCUUUUUGAUAGAUGCAUGAUAUGAGAUUGGGGUUCGACGUCUAGUGGUCCGCCUAUCCACAGUUGUUUUUACAGUGGUCUCGUUGUGUCUUAAAGAGCCCUUGGCUAUGCUGGUUCGGGGACACUUUGUAUGUCAUGUGCACUGCCUUGUACAUGAUGGUGCUGUACGAUCGAGCCUGUGUGGGCCCCACCAUGAAAACUUCGGACGGAAUCUCUAUCAUAUGUUUGUUCCGGCUUAUUCUGCAAGCCAAAUCCUUUGUUUUGUUUUGAGUUGUGGUAUUUGAGUUGCUUCAGUGUCAAGUGUUGAUCCAUACCUUCCCUAAAUGGUGUUCUCAUAUUUCUAUGGGAAUACUAAUCCUUCUUGAUCAUCGAGAUUGUCAUGUCAAUCCUUUCCGACCGGUGUUCUUCUCUUCAAGUGGAUCCGAACAUUUCAACAUUCGCAAGAUCAAUUCUAAGUUUUCUCAAUGGUAUCCAUUCCAUCUGCCCCAAGUUGCCUUUGUUUUCCCGCCCUCCCACCCUUUUCUUCAAGGACUCAGAUUUCUUAAUUGGGUAUCCAUUUUAUUGAUGGGAAGACUCUCCAUUCUUUUUCGUCAAUGUUCUUAUCCGGUGAUUCUCAGGAAGAUACUAACGGAGCUUCAAGUUCAUCAUUCUUCAUUCUCGUAUUCUUUUCUGGUGGAUUAAUUUCAAGUUUCGAUGUUGAUCAUAUCUCUUCCUUUUGUUUCACAUAUCUUCCCAUGUGGUUUUCUUAUCCAGGGCUCUCUUAUUUAUUCACCUCUCCCAGUUAGUAUCCAGAGUGUUGAAGUAUCUCGGAAGAUUUGUGUUUCCAUUCUCUAUCCGUUCAUCGUUCAAGUUAUUUUGAGGUUGUUAUCUCAUUCAAGCCAUUUAAUUCAAUCGGUGCAAUCCCCCUUUCAAGAAAUCGUUCAACGGUGUUUCUUUUUAGUGGGCCCAUAACCCACAGGUCUUUUCCCAGGAUCUUACCUGACUCUUCUAAUUUAUCCGGAGCGAUUCUCAAAUUCUUUCAAAGUUUGACGUAAGAAUGAAUUUUCAUCAGUCACAUGCCUUCUCCAAGGUUGUUUUCAAAUUCUUUUCAUCUUGGGCUCAACCUUUUUUUCUUUUAGUCCUUCCGAAGUGGCUCAACAAUUCAUGGUGGUGUUUCUCGUCGUCAUUCUCGAAUUUUGAAGACCGAAGAAGAGUUCCUCUUAAAUCCUUACCCGUUCUUCCAGAGAUUCAUGGUUCUAGCCUCAUGCCAUCCUCAUAAUUGUUUUUGAUUGUGGAAAUUCUUUACACCCAUCCAGAGCAAUUCAGGAGUCUUUUUAGUUUGAUUCUCCGGAGCCAAUCAUCUCAGAAUUAUUCAUUCCAGCUUUCAGUUCUCGUUCUCCAAAUCCUAUCGGUGCAUCGUUCAAGUUUACUCUAGUCAGCUCAUGAUCUCUUUGUUCUCUUGUAUCUAAAUCCCCUUAAGUAUGUUCAUUCGUUUUCUAAUUAUCCCCAGUGAGUUGUGCCUUUGCUACUUUCAUUUUCAAUUCUUACGGUGGUCCGUUCAAGAUUUCACUUCCUUCAUUAUCAUAUCAAAUAUUCGUUGUUUCCAAAUCCCACCGGUGGUUCCAUCUAUACCGUCUCAAGUUUACGCUAUAUCUCUCUUAUUCCUUUCUACGAGAAUAAGUAGUAUGCCAAAUCCGUUGCUUGUCAUCAAUUUAAAUUGGUGAAGGAUAGGCAUAACGUAAUUCUUAUUAUUGUUUCAUCCAAGUAAUCUAGUUUCUUCUUUCCAGAGUUGUUCAUCAUGUCAUUUUCUUGGUUCGAGAUGCUUCAUCUUUUCUUUUCCGGAGUUCCUUCGCAUUAUCUCAUCGCAAAGCUCCAUCUAAAUCAUCGCAAGGCUUCACCUUGUGUUUUCAACUUCCCUUUCUUUUUAUCAUCCUUUUAUUACCGGAGUUCUUCAUGGAGGCUCUACAUGGUGGUUCGUCAAGGAUUCUUUUCAUUCUUCAAUUGUUCUUCAAGAUUUCUCUUGAAGUUAAGAUCAGCCAAGCUAUACUCUAAAAAUAAACAUGGUGCUCAACACAUGUUCUGUUUUGAGGGGUUCAAGCAUUCUUCAUCUUGCAUUCCAAAGUGCAUUUCUUUCUACCUUAUUUUUUGAGGUGGUGUUAUAUCAUUCUUGACAAUUUUCAUUCAUGUUUCACGAUUCACAUGUUGUCAAGAACGAGGUAUUUUAAAUCCAUCAAUCUCUUCGUUGGAGUUAUCUUGGUAUAGAUUUCACCUAAAGCCUUCCCUAAGGAAUGUUGUAUUGUGGUGCUUAUCAAUGAUCCAAGUUUUGUCCCAUCCUCUCGGCAAAAGCAGUUUUCAUCUCUUUGUUGAUCUCAAGCAAGCAAUUGUUUCUGUUAGUGGCCGGUUGUCACCUCAUAGUUUUGAGAUAUUUUCCAUAAGCACACUACAAGCUUAUUCAUUUUGUUGUUGGUUUUUCCGAACAACCCCAUUGUAACCUUCUUGGAAGGGUGUUUUCAAGCUCAUGUGUGGCAGAAGUUGCCUUUUUCUUCUCCAUUCUAUUAUUCUAAUGAUCUAUCUUCUAUUCUUUCUUAAAGAGACAUUGUGAUGUUGCUCUUUUCACUCAUCAUCUCGAAUUGUGAGGAUCGUGUUCUUUUUGUGCUUAUCCUUUUAACCGGAGUGUCAUGUUUUAUUUCAAGUUCUUUUCAUCUUACCAAGUUUUGCUCCUCUUGUCAAUCGGAGUGGUGCCGAAUUUUUCUUUCCUCGCUUCUCUUCAACCAAAGUGGGUUCAGAGUCUAUAUUGUUCCUUGAUCUCUUGGUUCUUGUCGUAUUACUUGUUGCUCUUGUCAAACAGAGUGUUUGCAAUCUCGUUCAUCUCCGUUGUAUUCUUUCUUUCAAUUUGUUCAACCUCUCAAGGUUCGUGGUUUCACUCCUUUGUCGAAGAAGCAACUUCGUUUUACCUAUUCCUUUUCUGUUUCUCUCCGGUGCCAUCCCCAGGAUCUCGGGUCGAGAUCCUCUUGUACUGGUGGAGUGUUGUAACGCCCCGAGACCGACGCUCCAGAAGACUUCCAGCUGCUCCGAGUUUCAUCGUGUGAUUUGUUUUGUUUGUUGCAUCAUUUGCAUUGCAUCAUGCCAUCAUGUCAUUUAAUUUUAUAACUCAUCUAAAUAAAUUGCAUGGAUCUACAGUCCAUUUAAAAUGAGGGAAUUUACAUGGUGAUUUCUCUUUAUAACAUAUCAUCCUAGUAUUUAAGGAGCUAUAAUAAAUAUUCCAUUAGUUUGGAAUUAACCGUAACACACAUACAAUUUAAGUUCCAUGCAUUUUCUAUCUCAAUUCCUUGCCUCAAACUUUGCCAACAAUUCUUAUCUCUUUUUAUCGAGCCUCCUCCUAAUUUUUCAACCUUUUUGGACACUUCUAAAUCCUAGUCCUUGUACAAACCAUUUGAAUUAAAUUCAAAUGACUUUGAAUUUAAUUCUUGCAAUCUUGCCCACACCAUUUUUCUUGGAACAAGCGCAUUUUUGCGAGUCCGGGAAAAUUACCCCCAUGCCCAAAUUCUUGUCCACUCAUUUCUUUUCUCUCCCUUUCUUUCUUUGCUUUUCUGUUUUUGGAAGAGAUUUGAAGAAGGGAGAGAAGAAGCCCUUCAACCGAAUGCCACUAGGCCAGGCCGGCCCACCAGUCCCCGUGAGGCCCAACCCUUCCUAACCCUAGCCCAAUCGAUCCCCUUAACCCCUCGCUCGCUAGCCCUCUCUCUCUCGAUCCCUCGCUCUCUCCCUCAUUCCCCUCCUUGCGCCGCCACAUGCACGCAUCGAGCCAGGGAGUGGAGCUCCCUGCGCCAGAUCCCCUCGCCGGCUUGCCGCCACUACCAUGAGUCCUCCUCCGUCGCGCCGUCCCUACCUCCCAGAGUCGUCGCUCCAUUCAACCUCGCCUGAGACCGCCGCUCCUCCCGUCCCUGCAACCGAGGACCUCAUCCCCAUGGUCCAGGAUGCAACAUCGAGCUCUUCCCGACGCCUCCCAUGGAGACCGUGCCUUGCUGCCGCUGCUCUUUCGGUGCUCGUUCCCCAUCAUCUCCGUCGGUGCCUCCUCCUUGCCCAACUCCGGUGGCUCCACACCUGCAUCUCCAAUGGCGCCAUCCAUCCCCGUCGCCCCGCCGCCUCACCAACAACAGCCGCGCCGCCCGUGUGGCUUCCCCUCCCGCAACCCCGCGACGCCGCCUCGCCCUUGUCCCCCGUCGCCUCACUGCCGCCUUCGUACGCUGUUGUCCGCCUCCCGCUCAUGCCCGAGGACCAAGCGCCUCCACGUUGGCCCGGCAGCCCCACCUUGCUCGUGGUUUGCCGCUGCCUAGACCAUCUCUGGCCAGGGCUCCUUCGCCUCCUUGCUGCUGCCACUCGAGGCCCUGGUGUUGCUUCAUUUUGGAUCGUUAAGACCGACUACACAAAACUGCCAGUACCUCUACGCACGGAUACACCAAUACCGUCUUGGAUAACGUCAAGUACCACGACAACCAUGUCCCGUCAAGUUCGUCUACAGAAUGAGUACCACUACGCUCGAAUACCGUGGAUGCACCAAGUUCCACUACGAGAUGUACCACUACCGUCGCCAAGAUCGCGAGUACCUCUAUUGUCGCCGUGAAUGACUACUUCCACGACAUCCGUGAACCACUACUUCCACUACCGCCGCGAGAACGACUACUUCCACUAUGACCCAUGUACCACUACUUCCUUCGUUGAGCUCGACCCGCUCCGAAACGCACGCUUCGAAGGUAUAAUCCUGAGAUGACCGCCCGUGGACGAAUGCAUGUGUCGUAUGAGAUGCUCGUGUUUGCACCGUGUUUGAAUUGUCGCUUGCGAUGUCCCUCUUUUGCCAUGCCACCGACACGUGGGAACCCGGUAUCCGGGAUCACCCCACCUUCUUUUGCAUGUUCCGUACAUCCACACUUUCUUUUGCACCGACAUCUCGACGAGUUGCCGGAUCAUCGAAAUGUUGCCGUGGCACCAUUUCCGUUGUCGUUGCCGUGGCACCCCUUUCGUUCCGCCAUGGUGACCAAAUGCUUCAUAACGUGCUCAUGUCAACAUUUUCAUAAAAUUGCAUAAAACUUGUUUAUGUCAUCCGCAUCAUGAUAACAACAUUUAAAAUGUUUAAAACUAGCGGAGUAACCCGCGCAUUUGCGCGGCUAGGUUAACUAUCAAUAUAUGUACUGUUAUAUUUUGGGUUAUUAUUUUUGCCAAGUCUGUGGCCUCUUUCUCAUAUAUUAUCUUAUUUAAUAUAUUGUAGUCAAAAGGAAUGUCCCGUGGUUCCUAUACUCCACGAAAUAUUUGUCAUAUCAAUAGAUUGUAGUCAAAAGGAAUGUCCCGAGGAAACAUGGUCGGGUUAUUGAUUGCAUUGUAGUUUGUUGAUAAAAAUACCUUGGUAUAUGAAGUUAGAAGAUGAAUGCAAAAUCGUAUGUACCAAUCGUGAUGUUUCCGCUCUUCGAUCCUCUCCUCAUCCCUUGUUAUGUAUCUUAGCACCAAUAUGUCUUCAGAACAAUUCCCUUUCAAAAUUAGAUCUAAACAUGAAUAGCUUCCACGUAUACUGAUUGUACUAUUGUUCCAGCCAAAUCACUGGUUCCAUUCUUAAUUGCUUUGACCUUCUUGGUUAGCACAAUAUCUUCCCUAUCUACAUGUGCAUCCAUACACACGCUCAUCUUAAUAUCACCAAUUAUCAUUAUAUGAUGGUAUUUGUGCUUAAGGAGGUUGGAUGUUUUUAUCGUUCACUUUCUUCGUAUCUUACUCAUGUCGACUCUUUCUCACGCAUGUUCAUCUUGAUAUUAUUGGUUAUACAUGUAAUGUAUGUUAAGGAUUUUCUCUUAUUCACUUCCUUCAUAUCUCAUUCGUUUUGCUCGUGUCUUUGUCAUUUUUGUAUCAAUUCUUUUUUAUAUUUUCCAUUAUACAAACCCAACCAUUAAUUACGUAGUUUUAUUCAUAAAAUUUUACAUGCCACAAAUGGUACACAUGCAUUUACAUGUGUGUAAAAAUGUAUCAUCUUUCAUCCGAGAGCUCAUCACCUUUUCUAAUAUUAUUACUCUUCGAAUUACAAAAAGGACAAUUCAAGUGACACGGACAUUCGACUCAUGUUUACCUGCCAACGUCGAUGAUGAUUUCAAUGGUACAAUGAGUCGUGUGUUACCAUUGCGCUUUCGGGCUGUUUUUUCCUAACAUGCGUGUUGUAUGAUCAUGUUUCUGCUCUUAGUACUGGACACUCGACUAUUUUGUCAUAUUUCGCAUUAUUAAAUCUAAACCGCUACAGUUAUUAUCCACUAUAUAAUUAAUGGUGGAGGUAACUAUUAUAUGUGGUAGAACACUUGCAUCUCAUUAGGUGGUGAGUAGGUAUUUACCUAAUAUGAGUUCUAGAUUCCCUAUCAGUGGCGAAGCCAGACAAAGAACUUCUGGGUCAUUGUUAAUUUUUCGGAUCAUUUUCUUCAUAGCGUACAAUAAUUUUAGGUUGUUUUCCACAAAAGGUGUGGGGUCGAUUGGCCCCGCAGUUUGUACGUGGUCCCACUCCUGGUUCCUUUAUAUCAUUACAUCCAUUAUCUUUGAUUUUGGCACAGUUUUUAUAUAUAACUUUGGCAGCUUUAUAUACAUUUGUGUUUUUAUAUAAAACUAUAAAUCCUAUUAUCAUUUGAAUAAUCUACAGUGAAAAUGGCAUUAGUUUUACUUGACCAUCGUCUAACUAUUUAUGGGAAUGAUCUCAAAUAUUUGUGCAACAUUGGUUCUUAUGGCAACCCUCUUCAAUUUCGCGACUUAAUCGACUUAAUUCUGUUAAUUUAUAUUAGUUCAUUUUGCUGAAUUCGUUGGUAGUAUGCCUCACGUACAUUCAUUUUGCUUGGUUUCUCCCGUCCACUAAAAUGCCCAAGCAAACAUAUAUGUUGUUAGCUAUGCCGAAUAGCCAACACAACAUGCGGCCAAUUUUUUUCACUCCUGCCUUUUUUUUGAGACAAUUCACUCCUUGUAUCGAUAGUUAUGCCCAGGGCCGGCCCAAAUCAUUAGCUACAAUCGGAGCACAUCUUUCCAUAUCGAUGUUGCUCAAAAAAAAUUCUGACCAUAUCCGUUUUUUUGGCGUGGAUUCUGGUUGCCGUUUUUACCGAAGGACUCCUAUUGGCCUGGUUCUUAUAUGGAUUUUUUCUUGUCUGGAUUCCGAUUGCCCCUUUAUAGCAUGAUUUCCGUUGGCCGUUGAUCCGGACACACAUAUUUUUUACGUGAUGAACAUGUUUGUGUUUUUUUACGCGGUACAUGUUUGUGUUUGUGCCUGGACGUGUUGGAUAAUAAAAGCUGGUUAGCUUCUCUCCAUCAAUACGUACGUGAUUUUUCCUAAAAAGAAUACGUAUGUGCUAAUGCUAAUGCCAAUCGGAUCUCCUAAAAACAAAUCUCCUCUCUUCUUUCCAACUUAUAUUAUUCACACGCCUUUGAACGUGUCGGUUCCACAUAUAACUUUAAGUAUGUAACGUAAUAUCUUUAAAUCUCAGCCGUAAGAAUUUUUGAUCAACGAUGUAUAUUUUUUUAACUUAUGUGGAAGAACGUGGUGUCUUAUUUGUCUUCUGUUUUAAUUAUAUAAUAGAUUGUUGUUUGCGUUAAAUUGCUAAAUAACAUAUGGGGAUUUCCGGAAUUGUUGUUUGUUGUUUCCGGCCUCAUUUAAACUUGCCUAAAUAGUUAGUUUAAUUAUGUUUCACCUCUUGCCAUGUUUAUAACAACAUGUAAUGUUGUUGUGUUCCUAAACGAGAGCGAACUAAAUAACUCGAAUAUGGUGUCUUGUCAAUAUGCAACUCGUUGCAUAUUGAGCUCCACUUAACUUGUAGUAUAGUUUGUUGCACUUUGCCAUGCCAUGCCUCAUUAAACCGAACAUGCACCAUACUUGUUUGUGCAUCAUGACAUGUUUAUGCUUGUGCGUUUACCAUGUUGUUUGCUUCUUUCCGGUUUGCUUCUCUCAUUAGCUUCGGUUUCGUUCCGGAGUUGUGAGGAUUCAUUCGACUACGUGGGUUCGUCUUCUUCUUGGACUCAUUCUUCUUCCUUGCGGGAUCUCAGGCAAGAUGACCAUUAUCCUCGAUAUUACUUCUAUCUUUGCUUGCUAGUUGCUUCGUUUUAUCGCUAUGCUGCGCUACCUAUCACUUGUUUACCAUGCCUCCCAUAUUGCCAUGUCAGCCUCUAACCUUUUCACCCUUCCUAGCAAACCGUUGUUUGGCUAUGUUACCGCUUUGCUCAGCCCCUCUUAUAGCGUUGUUAGUUGCAGGUGAAGUUGAAGAUUGCUCCAUGUUGGACAAGAUUAUGUUGGAAUAUCACAAUAUCUCUUAUUUAAUUAAUGCAUCUAUAUACUUGGAAAAGGGUGGAAGACUCGGCCUUAUGCCUGGUGUUUUGUUCCACUCUUGCCGCCCUAGUUUCCGUCAUACCGGUAUUAUGUUCCUUGAUUUUGCGUCCCUUACGCAGUUGGGUGAUUUAUGGGACCCCCUUAACAGUUCGCUUUGAAUAAAACUCCUCCAGCAAGGCCCAACAUUGGUUUUAACAUUUGCCACCUAAGCCUUUUCCCUUGGGUUCUGCAGACUCAAGGGUCAUCUUUAUUUACCCCCCCGGGCCAGUGCUUCUCCGAGUGUUGGUCCAAAUUUGAGCACCAUGCGGGACCAUUCCUUGGCAACUUGGGUUACGUCGGUACCUGUACGCUUUGCUUAUCCGGUGUGCUCUAAGAAUGAGAUAUGUGCAGCUCCUAUCGGGAUUUGUCGGCACAGCGGGUGGUCUGGCUGGUCUUGUUUUACCAUUGUCGAAAUGUCUUGUAAACUGAGAUUCCGAGACUGAUCGGGUCUUCCUGGGAGAAGGAAUAUCCUUCGUUGACUGUGAGAGCUUGUGAUGGGCUAAGUUGGGACACCCCUGCAGGGUAUAAACUUUCGAGAGCCGUGCCCGCGGUUAUGUGGCAGAUGGGAAUUUGUUAAUAUCUGGUUGUAGAGAACUUGACACUUGACUUAAUUAAAAUGCAUCAACCGCGUGUGUAGCUGUGAUGGUUUCUUUUUGGCGGAGUCUGGGAAGUGAACAUGGUUUUGGGUUAUGUUUGACGUAAGUUGUUUCAGGAUCACUUAUUGAUCACUUCUAGUUUCUCGACCGUUCCAUUGUUUCUCUUCUCGCUCUUAUUUGCAUAUGUUAGCCACCAUAUUUUCUUAGUGCUUGCUGCAACUCCACCUCAUUACCACUUCCUACCCAUAAGCUUAAAUAGUCUUGAUCUCGUGGGUUUUGAGAUUGCUGAGUCCUCGUGACUCACCGGAUACUAUCAUAACAGUUGCAGGUGCCGAUGAUACCAGUGCAGGUGAUGCAACCGAGCUCAGAUGGGAGCUCAAUGAAGAUCUUAGUCGUUACUAUGUCUCGUUUCUUGAUGAUCAGUAGUGGAGCCCAGUUGGGACGAUCGGGGAUCUAGCAGUUGGGUUAUCUUCUUUUCUUUUGGCUUCGUUCGUAGUCGGACUAUGUGUGUACUCUGAACGAAGUAUGAAUUAUAUGUUCAAUUGUGUGAAGUGGCGAUUGUAAGCCAACUCUUUAUCCCAGUCUUGUUCAUUACAUGGGAUUGUGUGAAGAUGACCCUUCUUGCGACAAAACCACAAUGCGGUUAUGCCUCUAAGUCGUGCUUCGACACGUGGGAGAUAUAGCCGCAUUGUGGGUGUUACAGCUGCGCUUGGCUCUUCACCUCUUCGGGAAGUCAAACAAUUAUGGAGUACUAUUGCAGUGGGGGAGUACUACAGUAUGCUUCUGGCCAUCUAACACCGAUUGAACUGCUGCAUGUCCACCGCGUGUGGGAGGGAGAGCGUGUAGCGAAAGCUUCUCCUAGUCUUGCCAGCCACCAUGCUCGUGGGCGAGGGAGGGAUGCAACUUCGUUGACUUAGUGCUCCUGCCUUUGUGUGUAUGACAGGUGGGCCCAACAGGUAGGUGGCCCACCUGUCAUAUAGCAAAAGGCAGGUGGAUUUAAGGCAUCGAAGCUCAGUCCGCGAGGGAGAGGAUAAUCGAACUUCUCGUUGUUUUACGAGUUGACGCGACACAUCAAAGCACUGCACUCGAUAUAUUUCAAUAAUUUGCCUUUACCAAUGCAUUAAUUACAACGCAUGCAUGAAUGCCGUGACUCUCCUUUUGAUACUUGCAUGUGUUGAUUUAAUGCACCCUUAAGUAGUAUGAAUAUGUGAUGGUAAAGCUUUGUAAUGCCCCGACCCUAAAGUGAGAGAUGGUUGUGUUGGGGAACGUAGCAGAAAUUCAAAAUUUUCUACGCAUCACCAAGAUCAUUCUAUGGAGAUUCUAGCAACAAUAGAGAGAGGGAGUGCAUCUUCAUACCCUUGAAGAUCGCUAAGCGGAAGCGUUACAAGAACGCGGUUGAUGGAGUCGUACUCGCGGCGAUUCAAAUCGCGGAAGAUCCGAUCUAGCGCCGAACGGACGACGUCUCCGCGUUCAAUGCACGUAUAGCCCGGGGACCUCUCCUCCUUCUUGAUCCAGCAAGGGGAGAGGAGAAGCUGAGGGAGAGCUCCAGCAGCACGACGGCGUGGUGGUGGAGUUUGCAGUUCUCCAGUAGGGCUUCGCCAAGCACUACUGAGGAGGAGGUGGAGUUGGAGAGGGGGAGGGCCGCGCCAGGGGCAAGGGCUGAAGCUCCCAUGCGCAUCCCCACUAUAUAUAGGGGUGGAGGGGGCUGGUUUCUUGCCCUCCAAGUCCAUUGGGGCGUUGGCAAAGGUGGGAGGAAAGAAAUCCCAUCAUUUUCUUCCCCACCGAUUGUUAUCCCCCCUUUUUAGGGAUCUUGAUCUUAUCCCUUCGGGAUAUGAUCUUAUUCCUUCUAAGGGGGGAUCUUGGUGCGCCUUGACCAGGGGUGUGGGGCCUUUCCCCCACUACCCACGUUCAUGUGGGUCCCCCCAUGCAGGUGGGCCCCACUCCGGAACCUUCUAGAACCUUCCCGGUACAAUACCGAAAAAUCCCGAACAUUUUCCGGUGGCCAAAAUUGGACUUCCCAUAUAUAAAUCUUUACCUCCGGACCAUUCCGGAACUCCUCAUGGCGUCCAGGAUCUCAUCCGGGACUCCGAACAACAUUCGGUAACUGCACACUAAUUCCCAUAACAACUCUAGCGUCACCGAACCUUAAGUGUGUAGACCCUACGGGUACGGGAAUCAUGCAGACAUGACCGAGACAGCUCUCUGGCCAAUAACCAACAGCGGGAUCUGGAUACCCAUGUUGGCUCCCACAUGUUCCACAAUGAUCUCAUCAGAUGAACCAUGAUGUCAAGGAUUCAAGCAAUCCUGUAUACAAUUCCCUUUGUCAAUCGGUACGUUACUUGCCCGAGAUUCGAUCGUCGGUAUCCCAAUACCUCGUUCAAUCUCAUUACUGGCAAGUCACUUUACUCGUUCCGUAAUGCAUGAUCCCGUGACUAACUACUUAGUCACAUUGAGCUCAUUAUGAUGAUGCAUUACCGAGUGGGCCCAGAGAUACCUCUCCGUCACACGGAGUGACAAAUCCCAGUCUCGAUUCGUGCCAACCCAACAGACACUUUCAGAGAUACCCGUAGUGCACCUUUAUAGCCACCCAGUUACGUUGUGACGUUUGGCACACCCAAAGCAUUCCUACGAUAUCCGAGAGUUGCACAAUCUCAUGGUCUAAGGAAAUGAUACUUGACAUUAGAAAAGCUUUUAGCAAACGAACUACACAAUCUUGUGCUAUGCUUAGGAUUGGGUCUUGUCCAUCACAUCAUUCUCCUAAUGAUGUGAUCCCGUUAACAAUGACAUCCAAUGUCCAUGGUCAAGAAACCAUAACCAUCUAUUGAUCAACGAGCUAGUCAACUAGAGGCUCACUAGGGACAUAUUGUGGUCUAUGUAUUCACACAUGUAUUACGGUUUCCAGUUAAUACAAUUAUAGCAUGAACAAUAGACAAUUAUCAUGAACAAGGAAAUAUAAUAAUAACCAUUUUAUUAUUGCCUCUAGGGCAUAUUUCCAACAGCCUCCCACUUGCACUAGAGUCAAUAAUCUAGUUCACAUCACUAUGUGAUUGUAAUGAAUCCAACACCCAUUGGGUUUGAUCAUAUCUCGCUUGCGAGAGAGGUUAUUAGUCAACGGGUCUAAAUCUUUCAGAACCAUGUGUGCUUUAUAUAUCUCUAUGUCAUCUCCUAGAUGCAGCUACCACGCGCUAUUUGGAACUAUUCCAAAUAACUGCUCUACUAUACGAAUCCGGUCUACUACUCAGAGUCAUCUAGAUUAGUGUAAAAGUUUGCUUCGGCUUAACCCUUUACGACGAACUCUUUUACCACCUCCAUAAUCGAGAAAAUUCCUUAGUCCACUAGUUACUAAGGAUAACCUUGACCGCUGUCCUGUGAUCCAUUCCUGGAUCACACUUGUACCCCUUGACUGGCUCAUGGCAAGGCACACUUUAGGUGCAGUACACAACAUAGCAUACUGUGGAGCCUACAUCUAAAGCAUAGGGGACGACCUUUCGUCCUUUCUCUCUCUUCUGCCAUGGUCAGACCUUGAGUCUUACUCAAUACUCACACCUUAUAACACAGCCAAGAACUCCUUCUUUGCUGAUCUAUUUUGAACUCCUUCAAAAUCUUGUCACGGUGCAUACUCAUUUGAAAGUACUAUCAAGCGAUUUUGAUCUAUCCUUAUAAAUCUUGAUGCUCAAUGUUCAAGUAGCUUAAUCUAGGUUUUCCAUUGAAAACACUUAUCCAAUACCCCUAUAUGCUUUCCAGAAAUUGUACAUCAUUUUCGAUCAACAUUAUGUCAACAACAUAUACUCAUCAGAAAUGCUAUAGUGCUCCCACUCACUUCUUUGGAAAUAUAAGUUUCUCAUAAACUUUGCAUAAACCCAAAAUCUUUGAUCAUCUCAUCAAAGCGUAUAUUCCAACUCCGAGAUGCUUACUCCAGUCCUUAGAAGGAUUGCUGGAGCUUUGCAUACUUGUUAGCAUCUUUUAGGAUUGACAAAACCUUCUGGUUGUAUCACAUACAACCUUUCCUCAAGAAAAUCAUUGACGAAACAAUGUUUUGACAUCCUAUCUGCAAGAUUUCAUAAAUAAUGCAGGAACUGCUAAUAUAAUUUCAACAGACUGUUAGCAUCACUACGAGUGAGAAAGUCUCUGUUGGAGUUGUGUCGAAUAUUGUGUACAAGGUAGGUUACAGUUGGACUUGUAGUUGUAUUGUGUUUACAGGGUAUGGAGUCGUGUCCAAGUAGGACACUUGUAUCCUAGGCCUCUCUUAUAUAGCGGGGGUAGACACACGAUGUAACCUAUGCCAACAUAAUAGCACAGGCGCGCAAGGGGGAGCCGGCGGCAUGUGCCGGCGCCCGGGUGGCCGGUGUGCGGUAUUGUGACGGUGUCACGGGGAGGAGCGCCCGUAGUCAGGCCCCGGGGAUGUAGCCAUAUCGGUGAACCUCGUUAACAAAUCUCGGUGUCGGGCUUGUGUGAUUGCUUGGUCCUCAGAUGAUCGACGGUAUGCCUCGGAUUUAUUCUAACAAGUGGUAUCAUGAGCAAGGUUCAAAGAAAUCAAUGUUUGUUGAUUUAGAGGAAGGAUUGAGUUGAGAUGCAGCCGAUGCGGCGUGGUUCUUAACGAAAUCGGAAAUGGCCGAAGACGUAAAAGAGAUUAGUUGGAUUUAAGCUACAGUCGAAGGAUCACGAGCAACGAAGCUCGGAAGAGGUCAAAGUCGAUGGGAGGCAUGUAAAUCUACUGGAACUCAGAAAGCGUAUCGGAUCGAACAAAAAACAAUCAAAGCUGGCGGCGGCGUGUGUUCCGGAGGACACGUCGAGAUUGGAUCAUGUCCAGGUGUAGCGUGCGGCAAUAGGAGUCCCGAGCGUGGGUGUAUGCAGCAUUAGGUUACAGGCAGCGGCCCAGGGGACCCUUAGGCAGGAGGUGGCCCAUACAGUAGUGCCUAGAGGCACACGUUGGGCUGCUAUGCUACGAGCAGGGUUGACACAAUUGUGGGCUGAAGUCCAGGAGCACAUCGUGAGAUUUGUUUGGACCAAAAGAAGAGGCACGAUGUCCAGGUUUCACAUGAUGCGAGUGUGCGUGUGUGUCAUGGGCAGAUAGGUAUCUUUGCUGCUAAAGGUACACGGACAUGCACCAGCAAAUAGCGACAAGGAAAGAUAAUUGUGCAAAGAAUUCUUUGGGUCAGGUUUGCAUGGAAGCUUUUUCUGUCAAAACUGCUUGGAUGGCUCGGAGAUUAUGUGAAGUGGAGGAUAUUAUGUCGUACCAGAUCAUGCAUACACAUGGCUUCCAAGACAUGCAUGGUUGUGCAAGCGGUCGUGGUGCAGGGUGGAGCAUUAUUGCAGUCGAACAAUUUCGGCUGGGUCGGACUGGACAAUCUGACAGGAUCGACGCAAGUCGGUUGGUACAGAAGACGGUGGUGGGAUCGGCGACGACAACGUAGGGGCGUGAUGCUGAUGGUGACCGACUUCUGGGGCGUGGAAACACGUGGCGCAGGCCCCAAGGGUUUGUGUUGCUUUGACAAGACUAUGGCGCGGGAUUGAUUCAAGGUGGUGUACACACGGAGCUUGAAGUCAGCGGGGCGCGAGGGUGGACUGAUCAUCUACCAUGGAGUCAUGUUGAAGGUGGAGCUGGAUUGAGGGGCUACGGUGUAAGGAUCCAGAGAAUCGAAGCCUAUUCAGCGGAUGGGAAAAGCGAGCAACACGUAAUUCGGGCUGGAGCCCAGUGGUCUGAUGGAAGCGUGCAACUCGUCAUCGGUCGGUGAUGAUCGGUGGUACUCUGCAGUGGGGGUUGAGUGGUGUGGUUUCGCGACCCUUGAGACUCGACCAGGACAGCGGAGGCUCGAUGCGGUAAUAGUGGCGAGGUGUGCGGUACGCACGGGACAUGGAGACGGGCCAGGGCUCUGGUGGUCAUACAUGUGGUGAGACAACUGCGAAUUUGACUCGGGAUGACUACGAGCAAUGGUGAAAUUCUUUCAAGUUUCAGACAGGUGGUCAAGAAAGGAGCGGUGAUGUUGAGUUCAGGUAACUCUUAUGUGUGACACCCAAUAUGUGAGUUGUUCACUUUCACGCAGGUCAGUGAUCGGUGUGUGAUGGCGUUGGACUGAUACUCUGGAAGUUGGGAGCACAAACUAGAGUAACAAAAAACUUAUUUUUGCUCGAGUGUUGACUAUGGUCAAGAAAAGAAGGGACUACAACUUGCAGGUGGAGUCAUAUGGAGUCUUUGGAGUAGCAGCGGUGCUCAUGGGAUAAGCUCAAGUCCAAUGUACAUGAAAGUUUGAUGCAUUGACGAACUCAAGGUGGUGGAGAAUAUUCGCCAAGGUGGAGUUUGUUGGAGUUGUGUCGAAUAUUGUGUACAAGGUAGGUUACAGUUGGACUUGUAGUUGUAUUGUGUUUACAGGGUAUGGAGUCGUGUCCAAGUAGGACACUUGUAUCCUAGGCCUCUCUUAUAUAGUGGGGGUAGACACACGAUGUAACCUAUGCCAACAUAAUAGCACAGGCGCGCAAGGGGGAGCCGGUGGCAUGUGCCGGCGCCCGGGUGGCUGGUGUGCGGUAUUGUGACGGUGUCACGGGGAGGAGCGCCCGUAGUCAGGCCCCGGGGAUGUAGCCACAUCGGUGAACCUCAUUAACAAAUCUCAGUGUCGGGCUCGUGUGAUUGCUUGGUCCUCGGAUGAUCGACGGUAUGCCUCGGAUUUAUUCUAACAGUCUCAUCGUAGUCAACUCCUUGAACUUGUCGGAAAACAUCUUAGCGACAAGUCGAGCUUUCUUAAUGGUGACACUUACCAUCAUUGUUUGUCUUCCCUUUUAAAAUCCAUCUGUACCCAACAGCCUUAUGACCAUCAAGUAGUUCCUCCAAAGUCUACACUUUGUUUUAUACAUGGAUCCUCUCUCGGAUUUUAUGGCCUCGAGCCAUUUGUCAGAAUUCGGGCCCACCAUCGCUUCUCCACAACUUGUAGGUUCAUUGUUGUCUAGCAACAUGACCUCCAAGACAGGAUUACCGUACCACUCCGAAGCAGUACGCGUCCUUGUCGACCUACGAGGUUUGGUAGUGACUUGAUCUGAAGUUUCAUGAUCACUAUCAUCAGCUUCCACUUCAACUGGUGUAGGCGCCACAUGAACAACUUCCUGUGCCCUGCUACAUAUUGGUUGAAGUGAUGGUUCAAUAACCUCAUCAAGUCUCCACCAUCCUCCCACUCAAUUCUUUCAAGAGAAACUUUUCCUCGAGAAAGGACCCAUUUCUAUAAACAAUCACUUUUGCUUCCGGAUCUGAAAUAAGAGGUAUACCCAACUAUUUUGGGUGUCCUAUGAAGAUGCAUUUGUCCGCUUUGGGUUUGAGCUUAUCAGGCUAAAACUUUUCCACAUAAGCUUCGCAGCCCCAAACUUUUAAGAAAUGACAACUUAGGUUUCUCUAAACCAUAGUUCAUAUGCUGUCAUCUCAACGGAAUUACGUGGUGCCCUAUUUGAAGUGAAUGCAGUUGUCUCUAAUGCCUAACCCAUAAACGAUAGUGGUAAUUCGAUGAGAGACAUCAUGGUAUGCACCAUAUCCAAUAGGGUGCAACUAUGAUGUUAGGACACACCAUCACACUAUGGUGUUCUAGGCGGUAUUAGUUGUGAAACAAUUUCCACAACGUCUUAAUUGUAUACCAAUCUCAUAACUCAGAUACUCAUCUCUAUGAUCAUAUCAUAGACAUAUUAUCCUCUUGUCACGACGAUCUUCAACUUCACUCUGAAAUUACUUGAACCUUUCAAUAAUUCAGACUUGUGUUUUAUCAAGUAAAUAUACUCAACAUCUACUCAAAUCAUCUGUGAAGUAGGAACAUAACGAUAUCCACUGCGUGCCUCAGCACUCAUUGGACUGCACACAUCAAAAUGUAUUACUUCCAACAAGUUUCUUUCUUGUUCCAUCUUACUGAAAACGAGGCUUUUCAGUCAUCUUGCCCAUGUGGUAUGAUUUUCAUGUCUCAAGUGAUUCAAAAUCAAGUGAGUCCAAAUGAUCCAUCUGCAUGGAGUUUCUUCAUGCGUACAUACUAAUAGACAUGGUUCGCAUGUCUCAAACUUUUCAAAAAACGAGUGAGUCCAAAAGAUCCAUCAACAUGGAGCUUCUUCAUGUGUUUUAUACCAAUAUGACUCAAAUGGCAGUUCCACAAGUAGGUGGUACUAUCAUUACUAUCUUAUAUCUUUUGGCAUGAACAUGUGUAUCACUAUGAUUGAGAUUCAAUAAACCAUUCAUUUUAGGUGCAAGACCAUUGAAGGUAUUAUUCAGAUAAACAUAGUAACCAUUAUUCUCCUUAAAUGAACAACCGUAUUGCGAUAAACAUAAUCCAAUCAUGUCUAUGCUCAAUGCAAACACCAAAUAACAAUUAUUUAGGUUUAACACCAAUCCCGAUGGUAGAGGGAGCGUGCGAUGUUUGAUAACAUCAACCUUGGAAAUACUUCCAACACAUAUCGUCACCUCGCCUUUAGCUAGUCUCCGUUUAUUCUGUAGCUUUUUAUUUUGAGUUACUAACACUUAGCAACCGAACCGGUAUCUAUUACCCUGGUGCUACUAGGAGUACUAGUAAAGUACACAUUAGUAUACUGUAUAUCCAAUAUACUUCUGUCGACCUUGCCAGCCUUCUCAUCUACCAAGUAUCUAGGGUAGUUCUGCUUCAGUGACCAGCACUUAGUCUCGGGUUUGUGUUCAAACUUUGGGUUUCUUCACUAGAGCAGCAACUGAUUUGCUGUUUCAUGAAGUAUCCCUUCUUGCCCUUGCCCUUCUUGAAACUAGUGGUUUCACUAACCAUCAACAACUGAUGCUCCUUCUUGAUUUCUACUUUCGCGGUGUCAAACAUCACGAAUAUCUCAAGGAUCAUCAUAUCUAUCCCUGAUAUGUUAUAGUUCAUCACGAAGCUCUAGUAGCUUGGUGGCAAUAUCUUUGGAUAACCAUCACUAUCUCUUAAGUAAGAUUAACUCCCACUCGAUUCAAGUGAUUGUAGUACUCAGAAAAUCUGAGCACAUGCUCAACGAUUGAGCUUUUCUCCCUUAGUUUGCAGGCUUAAGAAACUCGUCAGAGGUCUCAUACCUCUUGACAUGGGAACGAGCCUGAAAUCCCAAUUUCACCCCUUUGAACAUCUCAUAUGUUCCGCGACGUUUCAAAAUCAUCUUCGGCGCCUCAAUUCUAAACCGUUUAACGAUACUGAACUAUCACGUAAUCAUCAAAAUGUGUAUGUCAGAUGUUCGCAACAUCCACAGACGAUGUUCGAGGUUCAGCACACCGAGCGGUGCAUUAAGGACAUAAGCCUUCUGCGUAGCAAUGAGGACAAUCCUCAGUUUAUGGACCUAGUCCGCAUAAUUGCUACUGUCAUCUUUCAACUAAAUUUUCUCUAGGAACAUAUCUAAAACAGUAGAACUAAAGCGCAAGUUACGGCAUAAUUUGCAAAGACCUUUCGACUAUGUUCAUGAUAAUUAAGUUCAUCUAAUUUAGUGAACUCUCACUCAGAUGGACAUCCCUCUAGUCCUCUAAGUGAUACAUGAUCCGAGUCAACUAGGCCGUGUCCGAUCAUCACAUGAGACGGACUAUUCAUCAUCGGUGAACAUCUUCAUGUUGAUCGUAUCUACUAUAUGACUCAUGUUCGACCUUUCGGUCUCUUGUGUUCCGAGGCCAUGUCUGUACAUGCUAGGCACGUCAAGUCAACCUAAGUGUUUUGCAUGUGUAAAUCUGGCUUACACCCGUUGUAUGUGAAUGUUAGAAUCUAUCACACCCGAUCAUCACGUGGUGCUUCGAAACAACGAAGUUUCGCAACGGUGCACAGUUAGGGGGAACACUUUCUUGAAAUUUUAGCGAGGGAUCAUCUUAUUUAUGCUACCAUCGUUCUAAGCAAAUAAGAUGUAAACAUGACAAACAUCACAUGCAAAUCGUAAAGUGACAUGAUAUGGCCAAUAUCAUCUUGCGCCUUUGAUCUCCAUCUUUGAGGCGCGACAUGAUCACCUUCGUCACCGGCAUGACACCAUGAUCUCCAUCAUCGUGUCUUCAUAAAGUUGUCUCGCCAACUAUUACUUCUACUACUAAGGCCAACGGUUAGCAAUAAAGUAAAGUAAUUACAUGGCGUUUUUAAUGACACACAGGUCAUACAAUAAAUUAAGACAACUCCUAUGGCUCCUGCCGAUUGUCAUACUCAUCGACAUGCAAGUCGUGAUUCCUAUUACAAGAACAUGAUCAAUCUCAUACAUCACAUAUCAUUCAUCACAUUCUUUUGGGCCAUAUCACAUCACAUAGCAUACCCUGCAAAAAUAAGUUAGACGUCCUCUAAUUGUUGUUGCAAGUUUUUUACGUGGCUGCUAUAGGUUUGUAGCAAGAUAUGCCAGUUGCUAUUUACCCUUCAUAAGGACCCUUUUCAUCGAAUCCGAUCCAACUAAAGUGGGAGAGACUGGCACCCGCUAGCCACCUUAUGCAACAAGUGCAUGUCAGUCGGUGGAACCUGUCUCACGUAAGUGUACGUGUAAGGUCGGUCCAGGCCGCUUCAUCCCACGAUGCCGCUGAAUCAAGAUAAGACUAGUAAUGGCAAGUAAAUUGACAAAAUCGACGCCCACAACAACUUGUGUUCUACUCGUGCAUAGAAUCUACGCAAUAGACCUAGCUCAUGAUGCCACUGUUGGGGAAUGUAGCAGAAAUUCAAAAUUUUCUAUGCAUCACCAAGAUCAAUCUAUGGAGAUUCUAGCAACAAGAGAGAGAGGGAGUGCAUCUUCAUGCCCUUGAAGAUCGCUAAGCGGAAGCGUUACAAGAACGCGGUUGAUGGAGUCGUACUCGCGGCGAUUCAAAUCGCGGAAGAUCCGAUCUAGCACCGAACGGACGGUGUCUCCACGUUCAACACACGUACAGCCCGGGGACCUCUCCUCCUUCUUGAUCCAGCAAGGGGAGAGGAGAAGUUGAGGGAGAGCUCCGGCAGCAUGACGGCGUGGUGGUGGAGCUUGCAGUUCUCCGGCAGGGCUUCGCCAAGCACUACUGAGGAGGAGGUGGAGUUGGAGAGGGGGAGGGCUGCGCCAGGGGCAAGGGCUGAAGCUCCCAUGCACCUCCCACUAUAUAUAGGGGUGGAGGGUGCUAGUUUCUUGCCCUCCAAGUCCAUUGGGGUGUUGGCAAAGGUGGGAGGAAAGAAAUCCCGUCAUUUCCUUCCCCACCGAUUGGUAUCCCCCCUUUUUAGGGAUCUUGAUCCUAUCCCUUCGGGAUAUGAUCUUAUUCCUUCUAAGGGGGAUCUUGGUGCGCCUUGACCAGGGGUGUGGGGCCUUGCCCCCACUACCCAUGUUCAUGUGGGUCCCCCCAUGCAGGUGGGCCCCACUACAGAACCUUCUAGAACCUUCCCGGUACAAUACCGGAAAAUCCCAAAACAUUUUCCGGUGGCCAAAAUAGGACUUCCCAUAUAUAAAUCUUUACCUCCUGACCCUGCCGGAACUCCUCGUGACGUCCGGGAUCUCAUCCGGGACUCCGAACAACAUUCGGCAACUGCACACUAAUUCCCAUAACAACUCUAGCGUCACCGAACCUUAAGUGUGUAGACCCUACUGGUUCGGGAAUCAUGUAGACAUGACCGAGACAACUCUCUGGCCAAUAACCAACAGUGGGAUCUGGAUAGCCAUUUUGGCUCCCACAUGUUCCACGACAAUCUCAUUGGAUGAACCACGAUGUCAAGGAUUCAAGCAAUCCCGUAUACAAUUCCCUUUGUAAAUCGGUACGUUACUUGCCCGAGAUUCGAUUGUCGGUAUCCCAAUACCUCGUUCAAUCUCGUUACCGGUAAGUCACUCUACUCGUUCCGUAAUGCAUGAUCCCGUGACUAACUACUUAGUCACAUUGAGCUCAUUAUGAUGAUGCAUUACCGAGUGGGCCCAGAGAUACCUCUCCAUCACACGGAGUGACAAAUCCCAAUCUCGAUUCGUGCCAACCCAACAGACACUUUCAGAGAUACCCGUAGUGCACCUUUAUAGCCACCCAGUUACGUUGUGACGUUUGGCACACCCAAAGCAUUCCUACGGUAUCCGGGAGUUGCACAAUCUCAUGGUCUAAGGAAAUGAUACUUGACAUUAGAAAAGCUUUUAGCAAAGGAACUACACGAUCUUGUGCUAUGCUUAGGAUUGGGUCUUGUCCAUCACAUCAUUCUCCUAAUGAUGUGAUCCCGUUAUCAAUGACAUCCAAUGUCCAUGGUCAAGAAACCAUAACCAUCUAUUGAUCAACGAGCUAGUCAACUAGAGGCUCACUAGGGACAUGUUGUGGUCUAUGUAUUCACACAUGUAUUGCAAUUUCCAGUUAAUACAAUUAUAGCAUGAACAAUAGACAAUUAUCAUGAACAAGGAAAUAUAAUAAUAACCAUUUUAUUAUUGCCUCUAGGGCAUAUUUCCAACAGGUUGUGCACGAGGAGGGUGAGAUCAUGCAGACGGAAGAGGACCCGACGAUGGAGCUCUCUAUGGUCUCAAUGGACCUCACUUGCUCCAGUGCCCCUUGUGCCUCCGCCCCUUGAAGCCUCCAGUGCAUGAGGUUUGAAUACACCUCGUCCCUUCGGAUGAUCGAGAAAGGUGCAGGUUUCUUGAUUGAUGUGCUGUUCGAUUGAUUUUUGUAGUGCAAGGGAGGGCACCUGGCCUGCGUGGACUGCCGCUUCAAGCGCCUCGGGAACCAGCGGCAGUGCCAGAAGUGUGAGCGCGGUGGUGGCUUCGACGUGUGGAACACAACAGUGGACACCAUCCUCUCGUUGGUGAGGGUGGAGUGCCUGCACGAAGACCGUGGGCUCUACGUCACUUACCACAAGCUUGCCGAUCACUAGAGCGUGUGUCCGCUCACGCCGUGCAAAUGCCCCAUGCCCAUAUGCGGCUACGAAGACCCGCCGCCGGCGCUCUCCCACCACAUCAGCUCCGCGCAUCACAUGCCCAUGCACAUGAUCUAGUACGACAAGGUGCUCCAGCUGCAAGUGCCACUGUCAGAGCCACGGCAUUUGCUGUUCAUGGAGGAGGACAACCGCAUGUUUUUCUUGGUAGGCGGCGUGCUCAACAUCGGCGCGCCUAUCGCCGUGUCGGUCGUCUGCAUCAGAGCGGGGGCGUCCCCACUGCCACACUACGUGGCCAAGCUGUGGGCGAACGACCCAUCGGGGGAGCCCAAAGGCAGGACCGAUGCCGUCAAGGUGGAAAUGGAGGUGACAAGCAGCAAGGAUCCCGGUGACGUCGCCGUGCAGGAGCUGACCUUCUUCACAGUUCCGCCCAAGCUGCUGGCCGGGGCUAAGCUGGUGUCCCUCCACAUUCAGAUUGACAAGCUAACAUCCUAAAUGUUUCUACAGUGCCUUCUGUUUAUCUUAGUAAUAUGCUAAUAUAGGGAUUAGCUUGUUCUACUUUAGCUUAAGAGAUGGUGGGUUUUGGUGGCGAUGCAACAAUUACUUCGACAUCAGAUCAAUAAUUCCCAACGGUCGAAAGGAUAUUUUGUGUCUGUUGGAUAUAAAGUUCCUUUGGGUAAGAAGUACUACUUGUCAUCAAAAUGGAUAAAAGGAGAUGUAUCUAGACGUAUUUUAGUUCUAGAUACGUCCUCUUUUAUCCAUUUUGAUGACAAGUAUUUUCGGAUGGAGGGAGCUUAUAUGAUUGUUUGUUCACGAAGUGUUUCAUACUUGUGCGAGUUGACGCGACACAUCAAGUAGUACUACUACUAGUAGUACUCCCUUCGAUCCUAAUUUCUCUGCGCAUAAGUCGAGGCGCAGAUACUAAGCAGGGCCUGGUUGUGUUGGACAACUCACCCGACUGCACACCAGGCAGAUGAAGCUCGUGUCGUGUUGAUGCCGUGUGCGGCCUGCACAUUAACCAAAACCUCGCGCCUCCAGCUUAGCCUCCGCGUUUUAAACUUCUCAAUCUCAAGGCCAAGGAGCAACGUGAAACCUAUGAUAGAGCCAAUCAGAUGGUUGAGAACACUACAAUUCAUAGCUACAAAUGCGUGUGUGAGAGAGGACUAGUGCAUGCGUGCACCUCUUCUCUUGAUGUAUAAUGUACUAAACUCAGAGUACAAGUGUAUGUGGGUGGCAUCAACCUAGGGUGCUAGAGAUGGUGCGUGCGAGAAGUCCCAAGAGAUAGGUGUAAUGCGUCUGAAAAAAAGACUAGUCUAUAGCUCGCCACGAGGCUAUUCCUGUCGAACGCCCUAAUAACCGUAAGAUAUGUAUCCGACGGUGCUGAUUAUUGCACGUACACAGCAGUAGAAAAAGAACUAAUGUGGCAUAUGCUACACCACAGCCGAGAACACGUGCCCACGUUACGCCAUCCGAGAAUAGCGCCGCACUUAGAAACUAGAACCGUCAAUAAAUUUUGAGCUUGCAUCUCGUCACAUUCCAGAUUACUACUACUACCACACUAUAUUUAAUUGCAAACCUGUUCACACCGAUCACAACCUAAACGGUUUCCCACUUAGGAGCGUAUUAGUACUCGGUUAUAAAUACUACUAUGCCAAGAUGACUGCACAUUCCUCCUCAACUCGUCAUCCACAAAAAUAAACAAGUCAUUCAACAUCCUUCCCUCGCGUCUGCCAUGGCCAGCAUGAGUUAUGGGUCGAGAGAUUACCACCAAGGAGACGCGAGCAUGGAAGCGGAAGCACGAGAGAUGUCCUGCCUCACCGUGAAAGCAGCCGACAUGUCCAGCCGCGCGAAAGUAGCAGCACAGAGGUCCUGCCGGGCCACCGAAGCAGCACGGAGGUCCCGCCACACCGUUGAUGCAGCAGACUGGUUUGGCCGUGCCGCGGAAGCAGAAGAGAUGUCCCGCCGCUCCGCGAAUGCAGCAGAGAUGUCCUGGCACACCGGGCGUCCUGGGAAAAUGUCUUGCGGGCAUGCGACAACUCUUAUAGGCGCAUGCAUGCGAUCGUCCAUAGCCAGAUGGAUCAGAUCUCUAGCUGGGCGAGGUUGCAGGACGACAUGAAAGCAUCAUUUGAACAGGCUACCGACAUCAUCCGACAACUAAGGGAGGGUAAUGAGAGGCUCCGGGCCAAGCGCGACCUGUUGAGGGCGAAGAUCGUCCGAAGUGCAGACCAGCAAGAGGAGACCAGUGCCUUGUUGAAGAGGAUCGGCGUCAUCGUCAAGAAACUUAUGGACGAGAAUGACAUGCUCUGCAUCGAGCGCCAAAGGCCGAUGGAAGAAUCCAUGGAUUCUCUCAAGCAGCAUCUUGAGGACAUGAAAGAGCUCAUCGCCGCUCGCCGCGGAGACUAGUUCCCCUGGCCUGCAGCAACGCAUCAAGAAAGUAGAGAUCAGUGAGCCAGAUAGUUGUCUUCCUUCUUGUUUUGCCCUUGUGUAUUUCGGGCGUAGCCGCAUGUGGCUUUUUAAUUAUCUUCCUAAUUAUGUAAGACAAUUAUUAUCCACUGUCGUCAUCCUUAUAUAUUCAUCAGUAUUGCUAUAAGUCGCAGUAGAUGCUAUAUAGGUCCGUCAGAUCUUACAUCAAGAUCCGUGCAGAAUUUUCUUUUCAGAUUUUCUUUUCUCUCUCUUAAAUAUCAGUCAAGUGAGAUAGCCAUGCCAUUAAACAGAGGCUCGGGCACCAUUAAUGGAGACCUUGGGAGAGAGGUGGACGACAGAUGGAGGUCAAAGAGCUCUCCUCCCGAUAAGCACGCGCAGGGGUCUGAUCGCACGCCUCCCGUACUCAAAUAGCUACCCUGCAUGACGCCUCCUAGCUAAUAAACAAGGGGAUGCAUGGAGGCACGUAAAUGGUAAAUAGAACGCCCACAGUUUUCAAUAAUACUUGUGUUUCCGAUUGUAAUGUGACAACACUUGUUCCAAAAUGACUUUGUUGAUUGUUAAUGUGUGCGCCUUCUCAAAUCGCACGACAAAAUUACCACAUCAUGUUGGUGCCAUGUCAUGGCACCAAUCCAAGUUUAUUGAUUUUCAUGCGUGUUUUGGAUUUACAGGAAUUAAAAAACCAAGUUUCUCAAUGUUUGAAGCCGAGCCACGACGCCCAAAAUUUUGAAUUUCAUUCCCAUUUCUUGCAUAGGACCUAGACAUUUACCCGAGGACACAUGUGAUUUUUCAACCAACUUUGGUGCACUGGAGCAUGUGCUUGUAUUUCAAAUUUGAAUUAUGCACACAAAGGUGACACGUUCCCUCUCAGAACCACGAGCCUUCUUGAGAGAAGCUCCACUUUGCAAGAAGCUUAUACCAAAAUUUGUUCCUAUUCGGCCAAUUUUUGUACCACGGCAUGGUAGUACCAUGACAUGACACCAUGCCAAGUUUCAUCAUUUUCAGGCGUGUUUUGGAUUUACAAGAAUUUUAAAACCAAGUUUCUCAAUGUUCUCGGCCAAGCCACAAUGCCAACAUGUUUGAAUUUCAUUCCCAUUUCUUGCAUGGGACCUAAAAAUUCACCCGAGGACACACAUGUGAUUUUUCAACCAACUUUGGUGCACGGGAGCAUGUGCUUGUAGUUCAAAUUUGAAUUAUGCACAUUAAAUGACCAGAAACUCAAUUAAUGUAUUAAAAAGGCCAAACGAACCCGAAAUAAUUCCAAAAUUUAACAGGGCACUCAUGUAGUUCUAUGUUGCCUUUGUAAAGAAACUCAAGGGGGGGAGGGGCAGCGUAUAUCCUUUUGCACUCAAAGGUGGCACGUUCCCUCUUAGAACCAUGAGACUUCUUGAGAGAAGCUCCGGUUUGCAAGAAGCUUAUACCAAAACUUGUUCCAAAUCGGCCCAAUUUUUUACCACAACAUGUUAGUGCCAUGACAUGACAACAUGCCAAGUUUCAUGAUUUCCAGGCGAGUUUUAAAUUUACAUGAAUUUUAAAUCCAAGUUUCUCGAUGUUCUCGGCCGAGUCCCGACGCCCAGAUGUUUGAAUUUCAUUCUCAUUUCUUGCAUGGGACCUAGAAAUUCAACCAAGGACACACAUGUGAUUUCUCAACCAACUUUGGUGCACCGGAGCAUGUGCUUGCAGUUCAAAUUUGGAUUAUGCACAUUCAAUGUCCAGAAACUCAAUUAAUGUAUAAAAAGGCCAAACGAACCCGGAAUAAUUCCAAAAUUGAACAGGGCACUCAUAUAGUUCUAUAUUGCCUCUGUAAAGAAAAUCAAGGUGGAGGCAGCGUAUAUCAUUUCGCACACAAAGGUGACACGUUCCCUCUCGGAACCACGAGGCUUGUUGAGAGAAUCUCCGGUUUUGCAAGAAGCUUAUACCAAAACUUGUCCCAGUUCAGCCAAAAAUUAUACAUAUGAAAACAAGGUUUAGAUUAUCCCAAACAUCUCGCUACCUAGACCAAUGUACUAUGAUUUGAAUUCAACAUAAAAUGGAUACAAAUAUUUGAAUUGGAGAUCAUAUGGUACAUGUAGUUCAUAGUGAAAUAUGAUUACUGCUAUAUGCAUGUUUUUUGUUAUCAAGAUAAUAUCUAAAUGAUUUUAUAACUUGACAACAAUCGUAUUCAAAUAAGGAAAAUUGAUUCAAAUUUAGUCCAUAUGGUGGACGACAAUAUAUAUGUUCAUAGGCUGGAGUAAAAUGUUCAUAUAUGAUGGAAGAUCAAAAAUGUACGACUACAUCAAUUAUAAACCACAAGGUCACCUAACGAUAUAUUCGAAUUCAACAUAACGUGGAUUCAAAAUUUGAGAUUCCAGAUCCUGGCAUUAGUAAUCAUAUAAAAAGGAAUAUUACUCUUUCUUUUGGUGGGCAUUGAUUUGUUUUUUGUUGUUGUUGAGGGAAGUGCGAAUUGAUUUGGUACUGUACAGGGUAAUCUUGUUCUCCCAAUAUUUUUACAUUUUUCUUGUAGUUUUUUCAAUGGCAUUUAUAGCAAUAGAGUAAAAGAGGACAUGAAUCUCUUGUGUCUUAUAUGAAUUGUUUUUUUGUACACGUUAAGUUUGUUCUACCGAACAAGGAAUCCGCACCUUGUUAUCUUGAAAUUUUGAAUCUCGAGUAUCUUUUGUCUCACCUGCUUUGAAACUCCCGCCUCUUCAACCCGCGCCGCGCCUUGUUAUCCCAAAAUUUAAACACGCGUGAAAACUCCCUCCUCAUCCGAAAUCGGUCCCGCAGCCCAGACACGCAAAAUCCCCCUUCUACCCCUCAGCCGAAAAUGCCGGCUCAACGUCGUGGUGUCAAAACUAGUGGGGGUAUGCUGGUAACUUACCCUACAUUUCAGACAAGCGCGACCCUAAGCCAUGGCUCCCCCUUCCUUCCCCUUCGUCCCCCAUUCGUACACAGAGUCUGCCAAAACCCGCGAAACCCCACGCUCCUCCGUCGGCCUCCCGACCGCCACCCAACUGGAAACUCUUCCCUGACAACAUCGUCCACCGCAACAGCUCGCUGUCCCUCUGUAAGUGCAUCUAGUGCCACCCCUAGUUGGUUUUGGAGUAUUGACGACAAAGUUGGUUGAGGGACUAAUGCGUUUGUGAGAAUUGCAGGAUAAUGCAGGUUGUGUCCCUCAUUGAUUCGGUUUACCUACCGGAGAUGACCCCUAAAAAUCUAUGAAGACAUUGAAGACAAUGGUGGUAUGUGAAGAUAUUCACAUUGAAGACUAUGACAUGAGAAGACAUUGAGCGAAGACUAUGGAGCGCGAAGACUGUGUUGUUUCGUUGUUUCCUUUUCUUCUGUGUUGAGUCAUAGGAACCACCGUACUGUUAAGUGGGGUCCAAGUGAACAAAGUCAGAGUGACUGAAGUGAUGCUCAACCCAAAUCCUAUGUCUUCGAGCGAAGACAAUGAGAGCAAAUCUUAUCCAGAGCUGGAUGAGUCAGCUUUCCUUGUAGCCCAAGUAAAGUUGCCGUGUGUGUUUGAAAUCUGACCGUUGGAACACGUGUCAGUUCCUUAGUGAUCCAGGGUCAUUUCGGACAUAUCAGGUCGGGUUGCCUUGUGGAUAUAAAUAGCCCACCCCCUACACCAUAAAUUGGUGGCUUCUUAGAGUUAGUUUACGGCUUUUGUCGUUUUGAGAGCAACCCACCUCGAAGCCUUUGAGAGAGAAAUCCUUGCGAGGACAAAGCCCAAACACCCAGAGCCAAAGAGUGUUAGGCAUCACUGAAGUCUUUCUAUCUGUGUGACCUGAAUACUUAUUACACUUGAGGACUGUGUAUCCUCCAGCCGGUUAGGCGUCGCGUUCUGAGCAUCCAAGAGUCAUUGUGGAUUGCCGGUGAACGAAGUCUGUGAAGGUUCGGAAGUCUACCUUGAAGACUUACCAGAGUGAUUGGGCGAGGACUGUGUGUCCUUAGCUCAAGGGGAAUAAGGUGAAGACGCGGUCUUCUGAGUUGAAUCUCAGCCUCCCUAACCAGACAUACAGUUGUCACAACAACUGGAACUGGUCCAACAAAUCCUGUGUCUUCAACAAGUGACUAGUUCUAUCAUUUCCCUCCCUUUACUUUGAGUUUGUCUUCGUGAAGUCAUUGCUUAUUUGUCUUAUCUGUUUGACUUCAUUGCUUGACUACUAUCAUUGAUUGGAUUCAUACUAUCUUCCAUCCUGAUCCUUACUACCUAGCUGCUAUUAGUCUUUGUACAUUCACAUUAUUGCAUACUUGACUAUGGCUUGCUUGUUGUAGUUUAUCUUCCGCUGCAUAUCAAUUAGGUCAUUUCUAUUGCUUGUCUUUGAAACUUUCAUGUUUUGAAGACUUUGAUAAAAAUUGCCUAUUCACCUCCCCCCUCUAGUCGAUAACUAGCACUUUCAAUUGGUAUCAGAGCAAGGUACUCCCUUGUUCUGUGUGAUUCGGUUUAACCACCUGGAGUUUAGCUAUGUCGACUGCAGGGAUAAUCAAAGUCUCCGUUGCUUGUCCCAUGUUCGAUGGAACUGAAUAUCCCUACUGGAAGAAUAUGAUGCACAUGCAUCUUGAAGCCAUUGAUGUUGACCUCUGGUAUGUCGUCAAGAACGGCGUUCCCAAAACUGGUGAAGGUGUCACCCCUACUGAUGUCAAGAAGUUCAUUCAACUGGACUCCACUGCAAAGAACAUCAUCUGUGGUCAUCUGACCAAAGGACAGUAUGGCCGUGUGAGUGCUCUGGAAACGUCAAAGCUAGUCUGGGACCGGCUAUCCAAGGUCAACGAAGGCGUCUCUACACAGAGAGACCAGAGGAUCAGUGUUCUUCGCAAUCUCUUCAACCGCUUCAAGAGAAACGAUAAUGAAAAUGUCCAGCUCACGUUUGAUCGCCUCACCGACAUCACAAAUGAGCUUCAGGAUCUUGGCGCCACUGAGAUUACCAAGCAUGAAAUCGUCGAGACACUACUGAGAUCACUUGACAGCUCCUUUGACACCCUUGCCCUCAUGAUACAAGAACUCCCUGACUUCAAGACACUCGAUCCGUCUGAUAUACUUGAGAGGCUCAACACACAUGAGUUCCAGCUUUCUGAGAAAAGAGAUAUCUAUGGUCCCAAUUAUGGCCGAACUCGCGCCUUGAAGGCAAAAGUUGUUUCCUCAUCUGAAGAAGAAUCUGACUGCGGUUCUGAUGAUCCUGAAGACAUUGGAAAGGAACUUUCCAUGCUUGUGAAGAAGUUCCAGAAGUUCACCAAGAAGAAAGGCUUCAGAAAAUCUUCACGAUCCAGCUCAAGGAAUGAUGAAGCUUCCACUCAUGACAACAAGAAGAGAACAUGUCACAAGUGCAAGAAACCUGGACACUAUAACUCUGAGUGUCCACAGUGGGACAAUGAGAAGAAGAAGAAGAAGAGCAAGGAAUAUGAUUCUGAUGACAAAAAGAAGAAGAAAUCUUCAAAGUCUUCUUCUAAGUCCUCAUCAAGGUCUUCAUCACAUAAGAAGAGCUCAUCUGGCAAGGCUCGUGCUUUUGUUGGCAAGGAAAUGGAUUCAGAAGAGGAGUCUGCUUCUGAGGAGGCGGAGGUGGAGUCUGAAGAAGAGUCCGACCCUGGCGUUGCAAGUCUGGCUCUAGCCACAACCUAUGUUGCCAAGUCCAUCUUCAACACUGAAGACAAUGACUUCCACACCAACGCUGAAGCUGAUGACAUGGACGAUCCUGCUCCCACCUACUGCUUCAUGGCACGUGGUGCCAAGGUAAAAUCACGUGAUGCUUACUUUCAAACAUCAAGUGAAGAUGACUCCGAUUGUGAAUCCAAACUAAAAGUGCUAGUUAUCGACUAGAGGGGGGGGGGGUGAAUAGGCGAUUAUUAUCAAAGUCUUCAAAACGUGGAAGUUUUGAAGACAAACAAUAGAAAUGACCUAAUUGAUAUGCAGCAGAAGAUAAACUACAACGAGCAAGCCAUAGUGAAGUAUGCAAUCAUGUGAACGUACAAAGACUAAUAGCAGCAAGGUAGUAAGGAUUAGGAUGGAAGAUAGUAUGAAGCCAAUCAACGAUAGUAGUCAAGCGAUGAAGUCAAAUAGAUAAGACAAAUAAGCAAUGACUUCAUGAAGACAAACUCAAAGUAAGGAGGGAAGGGAUAGAACCAGUCACUUGUUGAAGACACAGGAUUUGUUGGACCAGUUCCAGUUGCUGUGACAACUGUACGUCUGGUUAGGGAGGCUGAGAUUCAACUCAGAAGACCGCGUCUUCACCUUAUUCCGCUUGAGCUAAGGACACACAGUCCUCGCCCAAUCACUCUGGUAAGUCUUCAAGGUAGACUUCCGAACCUUCACAGACUUCGUUCAUCGGCGAUCCAUAAUAACUCUUGGAUGCUCAGAAUGCGACGCCUAACCGGCUGGAGGAUACACAGUCCUCAAGUGUAAUAAGUCUUCAGGUCACACAGACAGAAAGACUUCAGUGAUGCCUAACACUCUUUGGCUCUGGGUGUUUGGGCUUUGUCCUCGCAAGGAUUUCUCUCUCAAAGGCUUCGAGGUGGGUUGCUCUCAAAACAACAAAAGCCGUAAACUAACUCUGAGCAGCCACCAAUUUAUGGUGUAGGGGGUGGGCUAUUUAUAGCCACAAGGCAACCCGACCUGAUAUGUCCGAAAUGACCCUGGGUCACUAAGGAACUGACACGUGUUCCAACGGUCGGAUUUCAAACACACACGGCAACUUUACUUGGGCUACAAGCAAAAUUGACUCAUCCGGCUCUGGAUAAGAUUUGCUCUCAUUAUCUUCGCUCGAAGACAUAGGAUUUGGGUUGAGCAUCACUUCAGUCACUCUGACUUUGUUCACUUGGACCCCACUUAACAGUACGGUGGUUCCUAUGACUCAACAACGAAACAACACAGUCUUCGCGCUCCAUAGUCUUCGCUCAAUGUCUUCUCAUGUCAUAGUCUUCAAUGUGAAUAUCUUCACAUACCACCAUUGUCUUCAAUGUCUUCAUACAGUUUUAGGGUCGUCUCCGGUAGGUAAACUGAAUCAAUGAGGGACACUACCUGCGUUAUCCUGCAAUUCUCACAAACGCAUUAGUCCCUCAACCAUCUUUGUCGUCAAUACUCCAAAACCAACUAGGGGUGGCACUAGAUGCACUUACACAAACCCAGCUACAAAACACUUGCUAAAAUUGCUACUGAACAACAAAGGGCUAUGGAACAUACUCAAAAACUGUUAGACAAAAGCGAUGACCCGUUGGACGCGGAAAUGACACGUUCACAGUCCUUAGUAGAAGACAUAAAAAAUCUUCAUGCUAAGUACCAAGAACUUGAAAGUCUUCAUGAGACGCUCUCAAACACAUAUGAAAAUCUCUCCUAUGAUUAUCUUCAAAGGAAGCAAGAGCUUGAAAAAUUGAAAGCGACUCAUGAAGAUCUUCAAAAAGAGAAUGAGUCAUUUCGCGCUCAACAGAUCAGUUCCGCUCAGGAUGGAUUUGAACCACCAUGCUUGAAAUGCAUUGAGCGUGAUAACGCUACCUCUGUUGCUGAAUGUUCCAAUGCCGUUGCUGUUGCAUUGUCUUCAACUACUGAUGUGGAAACUAACCCCUCUAUGGAGGAUACCACUGCUAUUGCUGAUGAAAAUGCUAGGUUGAAGACAUUGCUUGAAACAGGGAUGUAUAAAAGUCUGAAAGGACAUCAGACACUUUGUGAUGUCCUCAAAAAGCAGAUUCUGAACCGAAACCCUAGGAAAGAGGGUGUUGGGUUCGAGAGGAAAAUGAAUGCUGAUGGUUCCUACUGGAAGCCUGAGCAGUAUCCCAAAACCACAUGGGUUGCUGCAAAGGAACCUUCAGUGGAUCCAUCCACUUUAUCUGGCUUUACCUGUGCUAAUCCUAUUAUCAUUGAUGAAUCCUUUGAUGCAAACUAUAAACUGUUCAAAAAUCAGAAUGGUGAAGUAUUUGCCAGGUAUAUUGGUACUAACUGCAGGAAUGGACCACCUAUGAAGAAGAUCUGGGUUCCCAAAAGCUGUCUUGAGAAUCUUCCACUGAAUGUCAUCAUGACACCACCAGGGAAGAAGACAAACCCCAGACCAAAGGCAUCAUAUGGUCCAUCGGCUUCAUACGAAUACAGGACUCACUUGAGUCACCCUAACACCAAUGUUUUACAGGGAAAUUGUACUCAAACUUAUGAAUAUGAACGUGUGUCCUCAAACCGCCAUGUUCAUAGGACUAACUUUUCUGCUUAUUCAUAUGAGUAUCAUUCAUCUCCUGCAAGGCUAUUUGCUAGGGCUUCAAAGCCGAAAUUCUCAGAUGCUGCACUUAGACACAUUGCUUCUAAGCCACCCCUGAAGAUGUGGGUGGUGAAGAAGAAUUAACUCUCUUUUGCAGAAUAUGGUCUCCAGCCAGCAAUCAAAGGCAUCCGAUACUAUUGCUGGGGACCUAAAACAUAUUAAGGGACACAUGAUAAAAUGACUUACUAUGUAUUCCACAUAUGAAUCGCUUACCUGUCAUACUGUGUGUUCUAACCUUGAUCUAAGCUGUGAUAAUCCUAGUGUGCGUCAAAUGCUUAUGCUUCACAACAUACCUUGUGAAGCCUAUCCUCCUAACUGCACUGUAGGGUAUGACACCUCGUGCUUCAAAAUGGAUUAUGGACAUCGGAUGCACUAAUCAUAUGACUGGUGAUCGAAGUCUUCUCAUGGACUCAACCUUACAUCCAUCUAACAAGAGUCAAAUCACAUUUGCUGACACUGGUAAAAGCAAGGUAUUGGGUCUAGGUAGAGUUGCAAUCUCAAAGGAUCAACACAUGGAUAAAGUGAUGCUUGUUGAAUCCCUUGGGUUCAACUUAAUGUCUGUCUCAAUGCUUUGUGACUUGAACAUGAUUGUGCUAUUCGAAAAAUAUCGUUGCCUUGUACUAAUGGAAUCUGACAAGUCUCUAGUCUUUGAAGGGUAUAGGAAAGAUGAUCUAUACAUGGUAGAUUUUUUAGCAGGUCCACAGCUUGCCGUAUGUCUUCUUGCAAAAGCUUCAGAAUGCUGGCUCUGGCAUCGGAGGCUAGGGCAUGCUGGCAUGAGGAACUUACACACACUCGUCAAGAAGAAGCAUGUCAUAGGCAUCGAAGGUGUCAAGUUCAAGAAAGAUCAUUUGUGUGGUGCCUGCGAAGCUGGAAAGAUGACUAGGGCAAAGCACCCCUCAAAGACAAUCAUGACGACAUCUCAACCCUUCGAGCUGUUACACAUGGACUUAUUUGGCCCUACUCACUACUCUACCCUCACAACAACAACUUGUCUCUAUGGCUUCGUCAUUGUUGAUGACUACUCAAGAUAUACAUGGGUGCACAUAAUUCUCUACAAGACUGAAGUACAAGAUGUCUUCAGACGAUUCGCCAAUCGAGCCAUGAACAAUUAUGGCGUCAAGAUCAAGCAUAUCAGAAGUGAUAACGACACUGAAUUCAAGAAUACCGGACUUGAUCUUUAUCUGGAUACAAUGGGAAUCACUCAUGAGUUUUCUGCUCCAUACAUACCUCAGCAAAAUGGCAUUGUAGAGCGCAAGAACAGAACCCUCAUUGAGAUGGCUCGAACAAUGCUCGAUGAGUACAAGACACCAAGAAAGUUCUGGCCUGAAGCUAUUGAUACAGCAUGUCACAUCAUCAACCGUGUUUACAUCCACAAGCUUCUGAGCAAAACAUCCUAUGAGCUCCUUACUGGCAAGAAGCCAAAUGUCAGCUACUUUAGAGUCUUUGGUGCUAGGUGCUGGAUCAAGGAUCCCCAUCACAAGUCAAAAUUUGCACCUAAAGCUCACGAAGGCUUCAUGCUCGGUUAUGGAAAGGACUCGCACUCUUACAGAGUCUUCAACCUCUUUCACUACAAAAUUGUUGAAACUGUGGACGUGCGAUUUGAUGAAACCAAUGGUUCACAACGAGAGCUCCUGCCAAGCACAUUAGAUGAAGCUCCUCCCAGCGAAUCUAUCAAGCUGAUGGGAACUGGUGAAAUCAUGCCUUCUGUAGCACAGCCUGAAGAGGAACUUAUCAUUUCUGCACCAAACCAACCUGAAGACAAUGCUCAGACCGAAGAUAAUCCUACCAAUGAUGACAAUGAUCAGCAUGAGCAAGGUCUUCGUCCAGUUCAUCCUCAUGUUGCAAAUGAAGUACAAAUUGAGAAGAUAAUUGAUAGCAUCAAUGCACCUGGUCCACUUACUCGCUCAAGAGCAACACCGUUAGCAAAUUUCUGUGGGCAUUUUUCAUUUGUGUCAAUAUCAGAACCCAAGAAAGUUGCUGAAGCCUUUAUGGAACCUGAAUGGAUUCAAGCCAUGCAAGAAGAACUUCAACAGUUCAAGCUGAAUAAUGUUUGGGAACUUGUCAAGCGCCCUGACCCUCACAAGCAUAACAUUAUUGGCUCUAAAUGGAUAUAUCGAAACAAGCAAGAUGAUCAUGGUCAAGUCGUCAGAAACAAAGCACGUCUUGUGGCUCAAGGAUAUACUCAAGUUGAAGGAAUUGACUUCGAUGAAACAUUUGCUCCUAUAGCAAGGCUUGAAGCUAUUCGCAUACUGCUAGCCUAUGCUAAUCACCACAACAUCUUGCUAUAUCAAAUGGAUGUGAAGAGUGCAUUCCUCAACGGCAAGAUUGAAGAAGAAGUGUACGUUGCUCAACCACCUGGCUUUGAAGAUCCAAAACAUCCUGAUAUGGUGUACAAACUAAACAAAGCACUGUAUGGCCUCAAACAAGCUCCUCGCGCUUGGUAUGAUACAAUCAAAGACUUCCUGAAGAGCAAAGGCUUCAAACCUGGAUCCCUCGAUCCCACACUCUUCACGAAGACAUAUGAUGGUGAACUAUUUGUGUGCCAAAUAUAUGUGGAUGACAUUAUCUUCGGCUGCACCAACCAGAAGUAUAGUGAUGAGUUUGGAUACAUGAUGCAAGAGCAAUAUCAGAUGUCCAUGAUGGGUGAGCUAAGUUCUUCCUUGGUCUUCAAAUUCGUCAGCAAAGGAAUGGCAUCUUCAUAUCUCAAGAAAAAUAUCUCAAAGACUGUCUGAAGAAGUUUGGAAUGCAAGGUUGCAAAGGUUACACGACGCCAAUGCCAGCCAAACACCAUCUUGGUCCCGACGACAAUGGUAAAGAGUUUGAUCAAAAGGUAUACCGGUCCAUGAUUGGUUCCUUACUUUACCUAUGUGCAUCUAGGCUAGAUAUUAUGCUUAGUGUUUGCAUGUGUGCUCGAUUCCAAGCGGCACCAAAGGAAUCGCAUCACUUAGCUGUGAAGCGAAUUCUUAGAUAUUUGGCUUACACCCCAACACUCGGAUUAUGGUAUCCAAAGGGCUCAAGAUUUGAUCUGGUUGGAUUCUCGGAUGCUGAUUAUGCUAGUGACAAGGUCGAUCGCAAGUCUACAUCAGGCACAUGUCACUUUUUGGGACGAUCACUUGUCUGUUGGUCUGCAAAGAAGCAAAACUGUGUAUCACUCUCAACUGCUGAAUCUGAAUACAUUGCUGCUGGAUCUUGCUGCGCAAAGCUUCUGUGGUUGAAGCAAACUCUCAAGGACUAUGGCAUCAAUCUGAAACAAGUCCCUCUCUUCUGCGACAACGAAAGCGCUAUCAAGAUUGCCAACAAUCCAGUCCAGCACUCGAAGACAAAGCACAUUUAAAUUCGUCAUCACUUUCUCAGAGAUCAUGUCAUGAAGAAAGAUAUUGACAUCAUUCACGUCAACACUGAAGAGCAACUGGCAGAUAUCUUCACAAAGCCCUUGGAUGAGAAAAGGUUUUGCAAGUUACGGUGUGAGCUAAAUAUCUUGGAAUCCUCAAAUGUCCCGUGAUCAGGCACACAUCCUAACACUUAUGCAUGUUGAUGACUUAGAUGUGCAACACACGAAGUAAAGUAUAUCUUCAAUCAAUGAAGACUUACAUUCUGAGUGUGAAUACAUUAACAUGGAAUUUGACUUCGGAGCGCCACGAUAAUUGUGCUCCGUGUCUGGGUCUAAUACUUCCUAUACGGUGGGUAACGCCACCACCAAAUUUCUUGAUUUGAAGUGUUUCACUCAUGGCGUUAUUGUUGAAUAUCUUCGCAUAUUGAUUUAUCUUCAACUUUCAACUUAUCUUCAUGAUUUACUUCACUAUGUUGAUUUGAUUGCUUUCUCAUAUAUAUACUAGUAUUCUGUCCUCUACAGCAUUCACUUAUAGCUAUGUCUUCAUUUGUGAAUCUUUUGAACUAAGUGAAUGUGAUCGGACCCUAAUCUCUCUAUGCUUUCUAUCUCAAAAUCUAUCUAUCCAAAUCAUAUGCAUUCUAUUGAAACUGUCAAAUGUCUUCUCUGCAUCCUUGUCAGCAGAAGACACAGAGACAAACAUCAAGUCCUUUUAAAUGAUUCAUCUUUAUUGUUGAAAUCCGGAGAAGCCGAAACAACCAUCUGACAAACUUGGCGGGCGUGGGAACAUGGGACAACUCUGAGUAUGUUGCAUGCUUGCCACGUGUCCCACGGAUGUGAACAUGCAGGGGCACCUGCGUAAUUGCGCUAUGCCGCACACCUACUUAUAAAUACGUGUCCCCUGCGGUCAAGAAAACCUUCUUCCACCUCUCCACCUCGUCAAAAUCCUAGCGCCACCGCUAUCUCUCGACGACGCCGACGACGAAGCGCUUAGCUGCCGCGACUUCUCCGACGCCGUCCUCACACCGGCCGCGGGCAUCAUCGUCUCCGCCGCCGCUGUAGGUGUCCUCCGUUGCCAAGUUAGGGCACGGUGGAUUGAACUGCUCGGUAUCCUAUUCAUCCCAUCUAGCAGUUCUUCGUGUGGUAAAUAUAACUCUAUUUUUGCCAUCUUUUUGAUCCUCAAUGAUUCAUCCUAUAUACCAAAAUUGGUUUCUGUCUACACAAUGUUAGAUCUAUUCUGUCUGCAUCUCAUACUGCCUAGUAUAUUCACUUAAGCUUCAUAUAUAGUUAGAUUCCUCACUUGUACUUAUUCACGGAUUCGUACAAAUCUGGAACCAACUCUCAACAUAUAAGUCAAUGUCUUCGCAACAUGAGGUCAAUGUCUUCAAGCUGAUUUAUCUUCAAAAUCUUCUGAGAAUGCAUAUGACCUCUUCCCCUUC